rnacentral:lncRNA from 1 species
AUCAGAAUAAAAGUUUUGUUAACACUGCAAAAUACUAAAUAACGGCAUAAGAUUUCGUAACCAAAAUCCACACCAUGGAUUUACUCCUACCAUUGUUAAUAAUCCCGUUCACGUUGGUGCUGUGGGUUUUACUGUCUUCAAUUCGCAGAAAAACGGCGCCGUAUCCACCGGGGCCAAAAGGCCUUCCCAUCAUAGGCAACAUCAACAUCAUGGAUCAGUUCACACACAGAGGCUUGGCCAAAAUCGCCAAGCAAUACGGCGCCGUUUUGCACCUCCGCAUCGGCUUCCUCCACACGGUGGUCAUUUCAAAUGCCGAAGCGGCGCGUGAAGUGCUCCAAGCCCAAGACAAAAUAUUUUCCAACCGCCCUGCCACCGCAGCCAUCAGGUACCUAACCUACGACCGCGCCGACAUGGCUUUCGCAAACUACGGACCCUUCUGGCGCCAGAUGCGCAAAAUCUGCGUCAUCAAACUCUUCAGCCGCAAGCGCCCCGAGUCCUGGAACUCCGUCAGAGACGAAGUCGACACCGUCGUCCGCACCGUUGCGGCGAACGUGGGCAGCCCCGUUAACGUGGGGGAACUGGUGUUUAACCUCACGAAAAACAUCAUCUACCGUGCCGCGUUCGGGUCCAGUUCCCAACAGGAACAGGAGAAGUUCAUUUCAAUUAUUCUGGAGUUUUCAGUGUUGUUUGGAGCCUUGAACAUUGCGGACUUUGUGCCUUGUCUCGGGUGGAUUGAUCCUCAGGGCCUCAACUUGAGACUGGUGCAGGCACGCGCCGCCUUGGAUAGCUUCAUUGAUAAGAUCAUUGAGGAGCAUGUGGAGAAGAAGAGGAGUGGGAAGAGUUGUGACGAUGAAAGUGACAUGGUUGAUGAGUUGCUGAACUUUUACAGUGAAAAUCCCAAAUUGAAUGAAGAAUCAAACGACCUCCACAACUCCAUCACACUCACCAAACACAACAUCAAAGCCAUAAUCAUGGUAUCCUACUUCUAUGCCCUUUUAACUCUUCUCUUCUCUUCUCUUCUCUUAUAUUUCUAUAUAAUUAUUCCAAUCAAAUACUUCUCUUCAGAUUUACAUCGAGGGAUUCAUCCAUUAAAUUAAGUUUUUAAAACUCUUUUUUUAAAAAUAAUUUUUAAAUCUUAUUACUUCUAAUUAUUUAUCAUAUUUAACUAUGGCAUACAAGCGAUGGUAAAAAAGUUAAAUAUUUUCUUUUGUAAAAAACAAUUUAGCGAAAAAUUAAGUUAAAAAAUUCUCAAAAAAAUGUUUUCUGCAAAUAUAGUUUUUUAAAUGAUAAACUAAAUAUGCAAAAUUUAUGGUUGAAAUUUUGAAAACUUUAUAUUUUUUUUGCAAAGGCUACCUUGUACCCACACAGUUUUUUUAUGGUAAAAAUUAAUAUUUAAUAAGAUUUGUGUACAUAUUGUACUUUACUGAGAAUUAAGGACUAUCAAGUGUUUACUGUUCCUAAUUUAAACUUUCUAUAUAUAAUAAAAAAUUGAAUGAAUUCAAUCGCAUAACAUGUAAUUAUUACAUUUGGCUCUAUGUUUAGAAUAUUUAUCUCAGUAUAUAUAUUGUUUUCUAAAAAAUCAAAUAAAUUAAAAUAAUUAUUUUUAAUGUUAUUUUAGGGUGUCACACUAGAUUAAACAGUCGAAAAGGUUUGGUUUGCGUAAUUUAAAACAACAAUUAUUCUUUCUUUUUACAUAUUUUCUUAUUCAUUAAAACUAAACAAAAAAAGUUAAUGCUAAAAAUGGUAAUUGUAAUGUAAGUGAGGACUUGGACAUUACGAACAAAUGAUAUCACGUAGUGUGUAUUGCAUGAGAGAGUGCAUGCAUAAUUUUCCAAAGAAUAAGGUGAAAGCAUAGAAGUUCGUUACUAUUUCACUUUCACUUUUUCGACCAUAAAAGGGAAAAACAAAUAAGUGAUAACAAUUGCACAACAUGCAGCACGUUGUGCAGGACGUCAUGUGUAGAAACAUUGCAAAAGACAGAGUUUUGGGAUAAACCUGUUUCAAGCAAUUUUUACUCUGUUGUAUUUGGCUACAUCUUUUUGUUUUUUUAUGUGGUUUUUAACGUGGAGAUGAGAGAAUAAAUAUUAUCAUUGAAGAAUUAAUUUCUAUAUUUGAUCAUUUUGGUCAGUGUAACUACAAAAAGUAUUUUGUCAUUCAAAUAAAUAUUUGGUAUUUGGGUACAAUAAUUACUAUAACAAUAAUAUAUAUUUAUUUUGGUAGAAAUGUUCAAUAUUUAAGUGUAAUUAUUAUUAUAAUAAUAAUGUAUACUUGUUUUGCUUAUUAUACCUAUUUAUAAUACAUAAUAUAUUGAUGGACUUUUUACUUUUGGACUUAAAUCAAAGUGUAUAUGUUAAAAUUAAUUUGAUACUACUUAAUUCCUAAUCAUAAUACUUUGGAUCGAUACCGGAAUACUAUAUAACUCAAUUGAUUGUUGGGAUUAUAUACCUUAUCUUUUUAUAUUAUAUAUGGAUUGUAACAUUUCUAAUAUUUAUUUAUUUAUUUAUUAAUUAAUUAGUGAGAAAAAAUAAAUAAAAAUGCAGGACGUGAUGUUCGGAGGGACCGAAACGGUGGCAUUAGCAAUUGAAUGGACGAUGGUGGAGCUAAUGAGAAGCCCAGAAGACCUGCAACGCGUGCAGCAAGAACUCGCUGACGUGGCAGGUCUGGACCGGCGCGUGGAGGAAUCGGACCUUGAAAAGCUCGCCUUUCUGAAAUGUGCGGUGAAGGAGACGCUGCGGAUGCACCCGCCGAUUCCACUUCUCCCCCACGCGGCGGCGGAGGACGCGGUGGUGUGUGGGUACCACGUGCCGAAGGGGUCGCGGCUGAUGAUAAACGCGUGGGCCAUAGGAAGGGACGGGGACUCGUGGGAGGAGCCGGAAGCGUUCAAGCCGUCGCGGUUUCUGAACCCGAGCGUGCCUGAUUUCAAAGGGAGCAACUACGAGUUCAUUCCGUUCGGGUCGGGUCGCAGAUCCUGCCCCGGAAUGCAACUGGGUCUUUAUGCGCUGGAAGUGGUCGUGGCGCACUUGCUUCACUGCUUCACGUGGGAGUUACCCGAUGGGUUGAAACCAGCGAGUUGGACACGAGUGACGUGUUCGGACUCACCGCGCCCGGGCGAGUCGACUCGUGGCGAUUCCAUCGAAACGUGUGUCAUGCAUGUCCUCUCUAACGUUUGCUUAUGCAAAGAAGAAAAAAAGUACCUCAAGUGUACGAAUAACGGUCAUAAGAAAUUUAAAUAAAUAAAAAUAUAAAUUAGUUUAUAAAUAAAUAAAAUUUACUAUUCAAUUCAUUUCACAAAAAUCAUUAUAUCUCUUCCACCUUUCUUUUAUAAUUUUGAAUCCACCUUAAAUAUUUUCUAUGAACUGAAUUAUUCAACUUCUUUCUGUAUGAGUGUGAAAUUAUGUAAAAGAUUAACGCAUUACUAUUAAUCCAAAACCUUAUAUAUAUCUAGUGGUUAUUAUUUAAUAUGGAUUGAUAAUAUAUACUAUCAUGUUAUGAGUAUUUUCAUUUAAAAGCCAACAUUUUCUUAUUAUUAACGUGAUUUGCUAUAUCCUAGUUAGAAGAAAAUAAUUAUAUAAGUGGUAAAUGACCAGCUAGUAAAAGAAAUUUAUUUGUGAAAUAUAUAAAUAUAAAAAAAUAUUUGGGUAUUCUCUUGUGAAAUAUAAAAAUAUAUAUUAUUCUAAGAAGUCUAAAAGUUAUUUGAUUAAUAAUGUUAAUAGUUAUUUGAUUCAAAUUGGCUUUAAUCUAGAUGUUUCAAUCAAGAUUUAUGUUGAUCAUGUUUCUGCAAUUAAUCUUGCAAAAAAAUCUUGUUUUUCAUCAAAGAAUUAAACACAUUGAUAUUCGAUAUCAUUUUCUUAUAGACCAAGUUGGAAAGAACAUGAUAAAUUCAAAUUCAAACAUGAAGGUGGUUCAAAAUCAGAAUUAAUGGAUUAUGUUGAUAUUAAUUCAGAUUUUAUUUACUAAAUUAAAGUUUGAAUUAGUCUUAAAUUGUUGUCUUAGUUUAGUGUUAAUAUUGUAUUAAUGGUUUAGUGGUUUUGAAAGUGUAAUCCGGUAUUAGUAUUGUAGGUGAGAGUUGAGUUAUUACUCCUAUUUUAUAGGUUCUGAUAGUUUUGUAAUUUUAUUUAUAUAUAUUGUCAAAGUAAAUCAACAAUAUGCAUCAACAUUAUAUUGACUUCUAUUAUUUCUUUCAAAUACAUUAAGAUUUGAUGUUGAUUGCUUGCUAUAUAGGUAAAUGCAGAGAUUUAUUAGACGUAUAAGAAGUAGAUUCUAUAAGUUAUACAGUAUUUAUAUAAUAUGAUAUAACAUCAAAUUAAACAAUAAAACUGUAAAAUUAAUCAGAAACAAAAACAAGUUGAUUCAGAUUUUUUUUCUAUUCAAACUUAACUAUACAUGACUUUUAUGUUUUUAUUUGGAUAUAUUUUUAAUAAUAAAUUAAACCAACCCAUAUCACGAACACCCUAAUUUUAAAUUAUUUAUGAUAAAAAUUAAGAAUUUGAACACACAUAUAUAUAUAGUAUCAAUUAUUGAUUGAAUAAGUGGAUUAAAAAAUAGAACUAUGUUAGUGCAUUUGAAUUAAAUUAUAAUAAUAAUAAUAAUAUAUUGUUUAAUUUAAAAAGCAAAAAAAGACAUCAUAAUAAUAUUUUUUUUAAAAGAAAACUAGGAUAGAGAAAAUGUCUUUCAACAUAUGUGGGAAAUGAUGUAUACUUUUCAUAAAUUAUUUUUUGUUCGGCAAAGUAUACUUUUUAUAAAUAUCUAUUCCGAAUGACAAAUUGAACGGGGUGACGUGAUAAGCUUGGAUAAAAAUAAAUAAUAAAAUACAGAAAGAGGCAUACCUUAAAUAAAAAUUAUAAUUUUUUUUUUGAAAAAUUUAUAUUGUGUUUUUCUAUAAAUAUGUGUAUUUUCAUAUAUAGUUUCAAAAGCCUACCUAGAAUAGGUGGCUCUACCUUAAUUAAUUCUCAUUUAAUUCUUUUAAUAUUUUUAGUUGUAAGAUUUUUCACAAAGUUUUAAUUAUGUAGUAAUUUUAACAUUUCACUUUCAACAAAGGGUACUGUAUUUGAGUAAUUUAUUUCAUUUAUUUUCAAUAUAUUUGAUCUUAAAUAAAUUUAAGAAAUUUUAAUUUUAAGAUUAAAUAACAAUUAUAAGUAUUAUCAGUAAUAUUAUGUGAGUAAUACGUGCAUUAAACAUAUAACCUUUUAAUAUAAUAUAUUAUUUUUGAAAAAAAAUUAUAAUAAGACAACAUAUUAUUCAAUUAUUUAAAUCAAUAGUAAUUUUAACUCUAAUGUAUUAAAAAUGCUUGAGCCUUCCAAACUUUGAACCUUAGCCACUAAGUUUAUGAUCUAAUAUUAAAGGCAAUCAUAAAACCGUUACCAUGUCUCCAUCCGUCUCAUUAUUUUUUAGUAUUUUNNNNNNNNNNNNNNNNNNNNNNNNNNNNNNNNNNNNNNNNNNNNNNNNNNNNNNNNNNNNNNNNNNNNNNNNNNNNNNNNNNNNNNNNNNNNNNNNNNNNNNNNNNNNNNNNNNNNNNNNNNNNNNNNNNNNNNNNNNNNNNNNNNNNNNNNNNNNNNNNNNNNNNNNNNNNNNNNNNNNNNNNNNNNNNNNNNNNNNNNNNNNNNNNNNNNNNNNNNNNNNNNNNNNNNNNNNNNNNNNNNNNNNNNNNNNNNNNNNNNNNNNNNNNNNNNNNNNNNNNNNNNNNNNNNNNNNNNNNNNNNNNNNNNNNNNNNNNNNNNNNNNNNNNNNNNNNNNNNNNNNNNNNNNNNNNNNNNNNNNNNNNNNNNNNNNNNNNNCUUGAAUGAUAUUAAAGAAAAGAGUAUUCUAACAGGUGAGUUAAUCUUAUCAUUAUGGAAGAUUUCGUACACAUGAGUUAUGCUUAAUUAAUUAUCUUAAAUGGUGGUUAAUCUUGAAAUUUCAAGAUAUGUUAGACUUUUAGAAGGUUUAGCCACUUGUACCGGUUUCUAGUCCAUCAUAUGAAAUAUAGUAUUUUUGAAAUAUUCAGACACGCAUGUCGAUUCCUAGUCGGUCAUGCACAAUAUAAAUCUCAUUUGUGAUACUAUGUUUAUAAAUAAUUUGUAAUUUUUAUUGUGUUUAUAGAUAGUUUGAAUUUUUAUAUUUGUCAAAAAUUAAAUUUAAUAUUUUCUAUCAAAUAAAUCAUCCGUAUGAAUAGUUAGUGAUUAUCACUUAUAGAUUUGUAAUAAAUAAUUUAUAUCAGAGUAUAAAGUAAAGCCUAAUUAUUUGAUGAUUUAUUUAUAAAAAUUAUUGACUAGAUUUAGAAAUAAAGAUAAAGAUAUGGAAGAUUAAGUAGGUAAAUAAAGAAGUAAAGAAUAAUUUAUUACUAUUUAGAGAUAAAUGUGGCGAGCAACUUUUUGGUAUUUAUAUAUUUAGUGAUUGAAUUAUAUAUUCUUAUUGAAAUGAUUUUUAUAUAAUAUGAUAUCUUCAGUGAAUCAGAUUUUUAUACAUAUGGUUAUGAACUGGUUUUAAUAUAUUAAAUUGGUUUUCAUAUAAUUGUUCAUUAAACUAGUUUAUGUAUAAUUGUUCGCUAAAUUGAACUUUUAUAUAAUUAGUUUCUUUAUAAUGAUAAUUGUUAGAAAUGUAAAUAGAAAAGUUGAGUAAUAUUUACAAACUUAAUAUCUUAAAGUUUUAUAUUGAAUAUGGCAUUAUAGUGUUUUUUAUUGACUAAACUCGUGAGUUACUUAUGGUGAAUCUCCUUAAUGUAAUUGAUGAUAAAUUAAUUUUUAAAUCAAAAUUAAAAUUAAUUUUUAAGAUUAUCUAUCAAAGUUUUACCUACUUUCUAAGAAAUUAUCUCUACUUUAAUUCUUUUCUUAUACAAAAUUUUGAACUGUCAAUACUCGAGUAAAGCAAAUUAUAACACCUUCUUUAUGUUGAUUUGUUGUGAAUAAAAAUAUUAUUUUGAUGUAGGUCUCACAUAAUUAGAUUUAUGAGUGUUCUAUGGUAUGGUUUAAUUUACUUUUAGACUAAAAAUUAUCCAAACCAAAAAAAGUGUGAUGUGAUUUGUUUUGGUUGAAAUUAACCAUGGAAUCUAUAUUUAAUCAAACUUUUGCCGCUUGAGUUGAUACUAUUUAUGGUUAUAAAAUAAUUUUGCUAUGUAUUAUUUAUUAAAAAAAACAUUAAUUAAAACAUAAACUAAAUAAAAUAUAAAUAAAUAAACAUAAUGUACUGCGUGAUUGGAUUUGCUUUAGUCUUUAACUCCUAAACUACUAACUGAAUCGAAUAGAAGAUUUUGAAGGAAAAAAAAAAUCAAAUACAAUGAAAUGAUGUCCAAUUUUUCACAAUUUACAAUUUUUAAUUUGAUUUUCAAUUUUUAAAUUAGAUUGGUUAGAUUCUAAAAAUCUUUAAUUCAAUUGUUUAAAUUUGAACAAUUAUUAAUAAUUCUCUUCAAUCUCAAAUCACUCAAAUUAUGACACCUACUUAAAAUUUAGGUUUUUAUUUAUAUUUUUUUAUAAAUAACUCUUAUAAAAAAACACUAGGAGUGUGAUAACUUAAUUACACAAAAUUAUAGAUUUAAACGAGUUGCAUUAUCAAAUUUAUCCACUUUUAAUACUAAAUAUUGAUUAUUUUAUUUUCAUUAAUUUCAUUUAUUAUAUAUAUAUAUAUAUUUUUCAUGACUUAAUACGAAAUAAAACAAUUUUUCUUCUUGUCUUCCUUUUCAUCUUCCACAGUAUUGUUGAUAAUUUGACUUUUGGUUACUAGGCUGGUUGACUUGAAGUUUCCUUGAUUGAAUUGAUUUAGGUUUUUUCUCAAUUAGAUAGACUUAGAUUCUCUUCUAAUUAGAUGAAUAUAUUUAUAAAGUACUUCAAUAAUAAAGUUAGAAUCUGUUCGAUUAAGUUAUACUUUCAUAAAAAUAUUUUAUUUCUCUCAAUAGCCAUGUAUUUUCCUACCCUCUAUAUAUACAUAAUUACCACUUAAUUAAUUAUGUCUUGGUUGAAAAAAAUAAUCGAUAAUAUGAAUAAAAUGUUUUUUAACAUGAUAUUUAUUUAUUUUAUUUACAUAACAAAAGGUUAACAUUUUUAUUCAAUCAAAUAAAAACACAUUUUAAACUAAUUUAGUGACGUACCCAAGUAAAAUUUUACUUCGACUUCGUCCUGUUUACUUGGUCUCUGAAUCUUGCUUUCUCUUUAAUUUAGUCUAAAGUUAUUUUACAAUUGUAUUGUAAUAUUCAUGCACCUUUUUUUUGUUUCUAAUUAAGCUUUUAGGUUUAUUUUAAAAAAAAGUUUGUUCCGUUGUCUAAAAUCAUAUUAUUUAAAUUAAAUUUGUUUGCGAUCCUUCGUUUAAUCAUAGUUAUUAAAUGAUCAAUCCAAAGUUAGUGUUUAAUCAUGAUUUAAAAGAUCAAGGAACAAUUUUUUAAACGGAAAUACAUACAAAGAAAAAUUGAAAGAAGUCUUAAGCAACCCAUUUAUUUUAUUUUAUUUCUUACUUGCUAGAUAAAUUUAGGAUUAAAAAAUAAAGAACUCAGAAAACCUCAUAUAGUUUGUGCUGCAAAUCAUAUUUUGACCCUCUUUUCACCCUCCCACCCUUCCUAAGAAACAAUAAAGAAUAAACAACAUGCACAUAUAAAUAUAUAAUGGUAGUUGCACAAGCAAUUUAAACUUUAUAUAAUAAAAAAAAUCUUCCUAAGAAACCAAAUUAACACAGAGAUUUCUUUUAAUAAAAAAAACAAAUUGACAAAGACAUGGGUUCGCAAUAAAGCAAACUUAGGAUGAUAAUAAACUAUAUUCAUUGCUUAAUGUAUAAUUUAAAAGAAAACCCAACAACCCAGCAUGAAUAAAAUACAACACACAUGUAUGCGUUUCUCUUAUAAAUUUACCAAUUAUAAUUAAUCCAUUGGUAAGAUAUUUGCACUAACAAGUUGGUUAGGGUACCACAUUUCUAUCACAUGAUGCUUUUUUUAUAUUAUAGAAAUCUCAAUUAGCCUCAACUUUUGAAUAUGAGUGAGUGUCUUUAACUCUUUAUAGCUAACCACCUUCGCUUUGUUCAUCAUUGAGUUUGAUUUUCAACUAUGGUGAGCAAAGUUCCUACAAACCCAUUUUCGAUGGUGAAGGCAGUGUUUCACUGAAUCAUGUUAAUGGCACAAUCUUCACAUUUAAAACGUUAGAGUUAUGAAGUUUUAAAAGUUUAAUGACAUUGUACAUUAGUUUUAUUCAACCACUUGAUGUCAAAUCUUAGAAAAAUGGGUUUGAAUUUAUCUAUCCAAAGCAUUUAAGUGUAAUGUCACUUCAUCUUUAGGACAAUAAUGAAUCUUAUAGAUUUGGGAGAUAUAGAAGAAGAAACUUUUAAUCUUCUAAGAAUUUAAAGCUGGAAAAACAUCUUCUCUAUGUUCGAUUUAUGUUUAAAAGCUAAAGUUUUCAAUAAAUAAGGUUUCGGAGUUGGUUUUUAUAUGUCAAUAUUCAUAAAAAAGUCAUGGAAGAGAUAAAAACUAACUUUUCUAAAUUAAUUAACAUAAAUAUUUUGAUGAAAAAAUAACAUUUUUUAUUUCAUCAUUUUAUAUAAUAAUGAAUAAAGAUUUUGAUAAAAAAAAAAUAUAUAUACUAUCUAUACAUAGUUCAUAAUUUCUAAGACUUCAUAUAAAGUUCCUUUUUAAAAGUUAUGUAGCAAAGCAUGACCAUGUUCAAAUGUAAGCACCCUUGACUAAAUAAGAUCAUGUCCUUGUUGGAUCACUAUUAUUGUGUUUUCAGUCAAAACAAUUGUUACCUCAAUACAGUUUUGUUGAAACUUGCAUCUAUAUAAAGCAUUAUUAUAGAAAAUAGGCAUCCAAAUUAUUUUUUAAAUAUAUUAUUUUCUAUAACUGAAAUUUAAAUUUGAUUUUUUUAUCAAUGAAAUACAAACCAUACAUAUAUAGGUACAUAGGAAUAUUAGAGGUGCUAUGACCUUAUACAAAUUGCUCUCAAUACAAAUAUGAUAAUAUAAGAACUAAACCUCAAAAUUAAAUAGAUAAUCAUUUUAUAUCUCACCACUUAAAACCAACAAUAAUUUUAAUUCUAGACAUUAUAAUAAAAAAUAUCAUAAAAUCUUGAAACCUAAUUGUGAAAUUGAAUUUGGAAAUGAGAUUAAAUACCAAUAUCCUUUUGAAUAAGAUCUAAGUUAGUCCCUAGUAUUACAUUAUUUUGUAAAAUAUUUUUUGAUAUAUUUAUGCAACUAGAAUGGUGUCAUCACUUUUUUUUGACAAAUAAGUACUUGUAGUUUUUUAACCAAAAUAUGUAGUUCAUUUGUAAAAGCUUUUAGUUUAUCCUUGAUAUUUUUUAAUAGCUUAAGUUCGAUGGUUGCCUUUUGAUCUAUUGUUGCUAGAACUAUUUUACUUUGUUUAUGGAUUUCUUUCACGUGUUCCUUGUGCUACUUUUAUAAAUCUCUCGUAUGUUUAUUAUUUUUCUUUUUGUACCCCCAAUCAAGUUUAUGAAGUUGUUAGCAACUCAAGAAUUGUUCAUGUUUUCUGUUCAUUGAAUUACAUAAUGUGGCUUAGGAAAGAAAAUUCCUAGACUUUAUGAUGGGUGUCAAAUAUUUUUAGUAAAAGGUGGAAUGUUGUUAAAUGAGUUAGGUAUUCUCACCAAGUUGUAUAGAUUCUUAAGUUUUAAAAGAGAUCACUCAAUAUAGAAUGAAUAUCUUUUUGAAUAAGAUUCUUCAAUACUCAUAUUUGUUAUAAAAUAAAUUAUUUUUAUUAAUAUAAAGAGCAAGUGAAUUGAGUGAGAUAAUACACUCUUGAAUAUUAAUGUAAUCAUAUAUAUGCUUUUAGCUUAAACAAACAAGGUCAAAUUAAUCGGAUAAUCCAACAAAAAUUAAAAUUUAUUAUAAAAUUGUUUUGUUACCUAUAAUAGCAAAAUAUAUUAUUGGAGAUCUCACAUCAAUUAGAAAUAAAAUCAAUUUAUAAGAAUAAUUUUGAAGUCGAUUUUGUAAAAAUGAGUUGAUCUUAAAUUUUUUUUUUAAUAUGAUAUCAAUGUCUCUUAAUCAAGAUUAUUGUGUCUAGUGUGGAAAUAACCCAUAAAUAUUUAGUUUCACAUAAAGAUGUUUAUACCUCAACGAAAAAGUAUAUGUUGGACAUCUCAUAAAAAAAAAAAAAGUUAAUUUAUAAUAUAUAAUUGAAAACAAUCCUUACCUUUCAACUUGGUUUUUUAUAUUUAAAUAUAAAAAUAAAUUAAGAUUAAAUUCACUUUUUAAUAUAUAUAAUUUUGGUUAAUAGUUAAUUCGAUUAAGAUGUAAUUAUGAUGAUGAACAGAUAAUAUAGUUAUAGAAUCUGAAAAAGAAAAACACGUUAAAUAGCAAUAGUAAUUUCUGGUGUGUAGUAAAUUAUGGUUGGAGCACGAAUAGUUGUAUUAAAAUAGUAAAGAUAAAAAAACUCCUUUGACGGUUCUAUAGCUACCCUAUUUGUUUAGGUAGCUUUUAUGUUUUGCUAAAGGGCAAAACAAACGUAGUUCAUCCUAAUUCUACACGUUAUGGACAUGCAGGUUUGCUAAAGGACUAUUCUCUUUCUAACUACUGAAAGUGAAAUUAGUACAAAUAACGUUUUUUGAGUUUGAAACAAAAGGUUAAAAAAUAUUUACUUUGAUCUAAAAGUAUUUUGUGUUACGGAUUCCCGUGAACAAAAUGAACAAAUAAUUGGGAGACACUAUUGUUUUUCGGAGUACAUUUUAAAUUCUCCUCACUAAAAUCAAAACAUACACAAGAAACAUGCAAAUAUAUACCAGUUGUAAUUAUGUUCGGUAAUACUUGCUGUACGAACUGGUAAAAAAAUAGGUUUCGUCUAAUAAUAUUAACUACUAAUAAUUUAAAUUAUAAAAUAGUUAAAAUCUUUAAAACUAAUUAUAUAUUAAUUUAAAAAUGAUUUAUUAAUAAUAAAAACUAUUUUAAAUAUUAAUAAUUUUUUAAUUUUUAUAAUAAUGUCUAAUUUAAUUAAUAUAGUAAUGGAUUAUUUUUAGUUUUAAAAUUAAUUUUUAUUUAAUAAUAUUUUUAUAAUGAAAUAAUAUUAUCAGAUUUUAUUAGAUGGAGUUGACAUUAUGUAAUAGUGUGAAAUAACACUUCCUAACAGAAGUCAUAUUGUCAUUAUAAAUGAAAUCACUAAUUAAGAUGUUGAUGGUUCCUUAUAUUUCUUAUUCAUCAUGUUUUGUGGUUAAUCAUUUUGUUUUAUCAGUUAUCUCAUCAUUUAAAUAUUUUUCUAUUAAUAAAAAAUAAUAAAAUAAAAUGGAACAUUUUAGAUAUGUUGAAAUCCUUAUUCAUCAUUGUAAUGUUAUUUUCCUUCGAUAUUGAUGUACAAAAUUAUUAGAAUUAACUUCGUUAUACUCUUGUAUUUAUAAGGGUAUGAAAUUAAUAACACAUGUAUUCUCUAUUUUAUGGAAUAAUUAAAAAUUCAUGGCUCCUUCCAUUGUUUUUCUUUCAAUCAAGAGCAUCAAAGGUGGAAUAUAUAAUGAUUAAAAUAAAUAAAUAAUCAAACACCCUUUAUAAUACAUACACCUAUCCAUGUACUAAAAAUAAUUAUAUUUAUAAAAUACGAAAAAUAAUAAAGUAACACAUGGCAGUGAGAUGAUUAGAUCUCCUUAGGUCAUUAGUCUCUGUCUAACUUUAAGUCUAAGUCUCAUAUAUAUUAUAAAUAACUAAUAAUGAUACUUGAUAAUCUACAUUAAAUUAGAAUUAGAGAAAUAAAUAACUUUUAAUCUCCGCUUAUAAAAGAGAGUAUGUGGCCUACGUAGAAACAAACACGGGUUUCACAAACUCUUCAAACUUCUUUCAUUCCGAUCAUAAGCAGCAGAGCACAGCCAUGGAUUUACUCCUACCAUUGUUAAUAAUCCCGUUCACGUUGGUGCUGUGGGUUUUACUGUCUCCAAUUCGCACAAAAACGGCGCCGUAUCCACCGGGGCCAAAAGGCCUUCCGAUCAUAGGCAACAUCAACAUCAUGGAUCAGCUCACACACAGAGGCUUGGCCAAACUCGCCAAGAAAUACGGCGGCGUUUUGCACCUCCGCAUCGGCUUCCUCCACACGGUCGCCAUUUCAAAUGCGGAAGCGGCGCGUGAAGUGCUCCAAGCCCAAGACAACAUAUUCUCCAACCGCCCUGCCACCGCAGCCAUCAGGCACCUAACCUACGACCGCGCCGACAUGGCUUUCGCUCACUACGGACCCUUCUGGCGACAGAUGCGCAAAAUCUGUGUCAUCAAACUCUUCAGCCGCAAGCGCGCAGAGUCCUGGAACUCCGUCAGAGACGAAGUCGACACCGUCGUCCGCGCCGUCGCGGCGAACGUGGGCAACCCCGUUAACGUGGGGGAACUGGUGUUUAACCUCACGAAAAACAUCACCUACCGCGCCGCUUUCGGGUCCAGUUCCCAACAAGGACAGGAGAAGUUCAUUUCAAUUAUUCAGGAGUUUUCAGUGUUGUUUGGGGCCUUCAAUAUUGCGGACUUUGUGCCUUGUAUCGGGUGGAUUGAUCCUCAGGGCCUCAACUUGAGACUGGUGCAGGCACGCGCCGCCUUGGAUAGCUUCAUUGAUAAGAUAAUUGAGGAGCAUGUGGAGAAGAAGAGGAGUGGGAAGAGUUGUGAGGAUGAAAGUGACAUGGUUGAUGAGUUGCUGAACUUUUACAGUGAAAAUCCCAAAUUGAAUGAAGAAUCAAACGACCUACACACCUCCAUCACACUCACCAAAGACAACAUCAAAGCCAUAAUAAUGGUAUUGUACUUCUAUGCCCUUUUAAAUCAUCUCUUAUAUUUCUAUAUAAGAGAAAUAUAUAUAGAAAAGUUUUUAAAACUCUUUUUCUAAUAUUUCAUUUUUUACCCACGAAAAUAUUUUAUUUUUCAAUGGAGUGGAUAUUCGUCAACUUUUAAAUUCUGUAUUUAGUAGUACAGAAUGUUUUUUCUAUAAAUCAUGAUUUAUUAAUGAUUAAAAUGUUUUUUUGAAAAUACUUUUUAAAUCUUGUUACUUUUAAUUAUUUGUCAUAUUUAACUAUAUGAUACAAAAACGAUGGUAAAAUAUUAAGUCUUUUCUUUUUGUAAAAAAAAAAUUAGCGAAAAAUUAAGUUAAGAAAAAUCUUAAAAAAAUCUUUUCUGGAAAUAUAGUUUUUUAAAUAAUAAACUAAAGGAAAAAGUUUUGUUGAUACUCUUCCAAAAAAAUAACAUAUACUUGGCACACCGAUUUAAUAAUAUAAUAAUAUAUAUUAAAAUUUUAAGUUUAAAAAUAACACAAAUAUUAUUAAAAUAUUAUUAUUUAGAGUGUCGUGUAUGUUUUUUAUUUAAUGGUGUCAAUCUAUCAUCAUCCUAAAUUAAAUAUGAAAAAUAUCCAUUUUCUAUUUCAUAGUUUUGAAAUUUUAUAUUUUUUUUAGCAAAGGCUGCCUUGUACCCACAUACAGUUUUUUUAUGAUAAAAAAUAACUAUUUAAUAAGAUUUUUGUACAUAUUAUUGUACUUUACUGAUAAUUAGGGACCACCAAGUGUUUACUGUUCCUAAUUUUAACUUUCUGUCUAUAAUAAAAAAAAUCAAUAAAAUUUAAUGUUAUUUUAGGGUGUCACACUAGAUUAAACAGUCGAAAAGGUUUGGUUUUGAGUAAUUUAAAACAAUAAUUUUUUCUUUUUCUUUUUACAUAUUCUCUUAUUCAUUAAAACAAAACAAAAAAGUUAAUGCUAAAAAUGGUAAUUAUUAUGCAUGUAAGGAGUUGGAUUUUAGGAAGAAUUGAUAUCACGUUAGCAUGAGAGUGUGCAUGCAUAAUUUUCAAAAGAAUAAGGCGAAAGCAUAGAAGUUCGUUACUAUUUCACUUUCAAGUUUUCAACCAUAAAAAUCAAAAACAUAAAACACAUACACUCUACAAACUAAUAAAUUAUUAUUUUAAUUAUAUUUAUUUUAGUUUUUAAUUUAGAAUAUUAUUAUAAUUAUUUAUUAAAUGUGUGUUUUACUAUUUGGUUUCAAAAUAAACUUUUCCAAACCCAAACAAAUAACUGAUAACAAUUGCACAUGCAGGAUGUCAUGUUCGGAGGGACCGAAACGGUGGCAUCAGCAAUUGAAUGGACGAUGACGGAGCUAAUGAGAAGCCCAGAAGACCUGCGGCGCGUGCAGCAAGAACUCGCUGACGUGGCGGGUCUGGACCGGCGCGUGGAGGAAUCAGACAUUGAAAAGCUCGUCUUUCUGAAAUGUGUUCUGAAGGAGACGCUGCGGUUGCACCCGCCGAUUCCUCUUCUCCUCCACGAGGCGGCGGAGGACGCGGUGGUGUGUGGGUACCACGUGCCGAAGGGGUCGCGGCUGAUGAUAAACGCGUGGGCCAUAGGAAGGGACGGGGACUCGUGGGAGGAGCCGGAAGCGUUCAAGCCGUCGCGUUUUUUGAAGUCUAGCGUGCCCGAUUUCAAAGGGAGCAACUUCGAGUUCAUUCCGUUCGGGUCGGGUCGGAGAUCCUGCCCCGGAAUGCAACUGGGUCUUUACGCGCUGGAAGUGGCCGUGGCGCACUUGCUUCACUGCUUCACGUGGGAGUUACCCGAUGGGUUGAAACCCAGUGAGUUGGACACGAGUGACGUGUUCGGACUCACCGCGCCCAGGGCGAGUCGACUCGUGGCGAUUCCGUCGAAACGUGUGUUAUGUCCUCUCUAAUGUUUGGUUAUGCAAAGAAGAAAAAAAAUACCCCAAAUGUAAGAAUAACGGCUUCUAAUGGCCCUACUUUUCUGGAUUUCAACUACAUAUUUCGCAUUAAAAUUACUAUUCAAUUCAUUUCAAAAAGUUAUUAUCUCUAAAAUAUUUUUCAUCUACUUUUUCUCUAAGUUUUUUUGAGAGAUCCACUCACAUUAAUGUUACUUUAUUUAAAUAAAACCACGUCGUGAGAAAUAAUAAAUAAUAUAUAAAUACUUAUACUAUGAUUAAUCACACUAUUGUUAAAUUAUUUAAACUAAAUUUUUCUAUAAAUAAGUUUAAAGAAAACCUCUUUUUACCAUCUUGAAAAACCGGAACAAAAGGAAAUUAUCGUGCAAAAGUCUGGAAAAACAAAUUAGGAUUUUAUAAGACAAAGAUUACAAGAACACUAAAUAUACAAAUAAAAUAAAAUCGUAAGUUUAAAAUUAAUAUAUUAAAGGAGUUAUCAAUAUAACUUUUCUGUUAUAACAAUUAAUUAGAAAUGAGUUUAAAAGAUAUAGAACACCAACGUUAAAAGGAUUAUACCGUAUCUCAAAUAGAACUUAAUGUUAAGAUAUAUAUAUAUAUAUAUAUAUAUAUAUAAUAAAGUAAACUAAAUUAAUAUAUNNNNNNNNNNNNNNNNNNNNNNNNNNNNNNNNNNNNNNNNNNNNNNNNNNNNNNNNNNNNNNNNNNNNNNNNNNNNNNNNNNNNNNNNNNNNNNNNNNNNNNNNNNNNNNNNNNNNNNNNNNNNNNNNNNNNNNNNNNNNNNNNNNNNNNNNNNNNNNNNNNNNNNNNNNNNNNNNNNNNNNNNNNNNNNNNNNNNNNNNNNNNNNNNNNNNNNNNNNNNNNNNNNNNNNNNNNNNNNNNNNNNNNNNNNNNNNNNNNNNNNNNNNNNNNNNNNNNNNNNNNNNNNNNNNNNNNNNNNNNNNNNNNNNNNNNNNNNNNNNNNNNNNNNNNNNNNNNNNNNNNNNNNNNNNNNNNNNNNNNNNNNNNNNNNNNNNNNNNNNNNNNNNNNNNNNNNNNNNNNNNNNNNNNNNNNNNNNNNNNNNNNNNNNNNNNNNNNNNNNNNNNNNNNNNNNNNNNNNNNNNNNNNAAGGCAGUCAUAACACCGUUACCAUGUCUCCAUCCAUCUCAUUUUUUUUUAGUAUUUUAACUCUUUUAAUAACUAAAAUUUGUAAUACAAACUUGCACAUAAUAUUAAAAUACCCUAUUUAUUUCUUAAUAAAAACAGUAUAUUUAGAAAGAUAGAAAAUUUCAAACUUUAAAUUAAAUAUUAAAAUACAUUUUAUAUAAUUUUUAAUACACAGUGAAUCUGCUUGAAAGUCCCUUCAUAAUAUCACUGUUAGUUUUUUUUUUCUAUCAUGUUAUAAAUUAGUCUCAUUGGUGAUAUAUUAUGUUUAUUGAUAGUUUUCUAUUUUUAUAUUUGGCAGAAAUUAAAUAUAAUAUUUCUAUCAAAUAAAUCAUCCGUGUGAAUAGUUAGUGUUUAAUUAUUAUGCUAAUCCAUCGAAUUUGUUUUUUAAUACAUAUUUACGGUAAAAGUUGAAGUAUUUACUUUUGGUAUCAAUUAUUUGUACUUGAACGUAAAAGAUAUUUUACAUCUAAAUUUAUUUUUCAAGAACUUUUAUUAAAUAAAUUUACAAGUAAAAAUAAGUGAGAACUGGAAAAUAAAGUAAAAGGAAAAUGAAAGAAAAAACAAUACAAAUCACCUUUUUUUCAAACAACACAAAGAUGGUGUGUAGAAACGUUUACCAUAGAAUCUAAUAACACAGAAAACCUUCCAUAUCUAGAUCUACUGAAAAUAUUUACCAUCACCACAUAAGUUAAGAUUUUUUUUUAUUAAUACCAAUUUAAUAUAAUUGAACAAUCGAAAUCCUUAAAUCAAUGGUUUAAAACUCAAAGUUAAAGUUAAUUCUAUUGACAGGUAUGAGCAAUUUACCACUAUCUGAUAAUAUUUUUCCCUUUUUCUUCCUUCGUGUUAAGUGAAAACACAUUGUGCUUAUAGCAUUAUGUAUAUAUAUAAUACAACUAUGACUGAAAGUCGAUUGUACAACAAUGUCGUGAAAUUCAAAAGCAAAUUAGAGCAUCUCCUUACAAGAGUUAUUUAUGAAUUGAACAUUAUUUCAAUCUAAGUUUUAUACAUUUAAGUUCAAUUUAAGUAAUCUAAAUACGUGGAACCUAGAAUAAUAAAAUAAUAUUUUUAUUCACAAACAACUUUGAAGAUGCUAUAAAAAUAUGCAUUUAAAUUCUUCCGCUUACGCAUUAUAAUAUCCAAGAUGCUUGUGUUUGUAUUCAUACCAUAUGGCAAAUAAAUAAACAGAAAGAAUAUGGAAUGGGGCUUAAAAAACAGGCCCAAUUCGUGCCUACUUGGAGCUUCUUCCUUUCUGCUCCACUAGUGUACGGACCAAAGCAAAAUAAAGGAAAAAGAAAAGGUUGAACUAGUAUUGUAAUGCAAUUGUUUCUCUGAGAGAAGACAGAUCUUCAAAGCAGCUAGGUACCCUAGAUUCUUUUCCACCUCAUUUUUUAAGCUAAUUGGAAUACAAUCAAUUUACAUCAAAAUACGUAACACAGCAAGACCAACAGCAGAGAUCGAAACCAGUGUUCCUAUGCAGUAUUUUAUGACAUCAUAUUUGGCUGCUUCCAGCUGUGCUCUUAAAGAAUGGAUCUCCUGCAUAUGAAUAAGAGCAAAGGGUUUCAGAAUGUAAAUUACUAAAUUGGCAACUUCUAAAUGUCACAUAAUUGCUUACUCUGUCAAGUUUGUUUGUCAAGUUGUUAGUUUCAGCAUUCUGAUUAGACAAUUCAUCCCUUAUUCUCCUGCAUUUUUAGCGACUCAUCAGCACUAACAGAUGAAAAUGGGAAUUUCAGUCUAACAAAAGUUCUGUAAUCUAUGACAAUCAACAGUUUAUUCUCAACUCUUACCCCCUUUCAAGGUUCAAAUCUAAUCGCUGCCCAGCAGUGACUUUAUCAAUCUCAUAUCUGCAUCGCAAAUCAUGUUAUUUUACCAUAAAAUCGUAACAAAACAAAAGACGACUAUAGUUUGAUCAAGGCCAGUUGCUAAAAUUGAUAAAAACAUACGUCAACUGAUUACGCAUCUUCUCUAUAUCAUUCCUAAGCUUCUCAGUCUCAUGUUGUAAGAGAGAGAAAUGGUGUCCCUGAAUUACAAGUUUUUCAGCACAUUACAACAUCGUCAAACAAAACCAACAUCAUCAGCAUCAGUAUAACAUUCAUUUUGAGGUAAAUAAGAUUACAAGGAUGAAGAAAUGUGAAAUAAAGACAAAGAAAAACGGUUCCUAACUUCCUAAUAUAAAAUGAAUGCACUCCCAGCAUAAAUGUUUCAACAAAAUGCAACAGAAACAAUCAUAAAUGCUUAGCAUGUAAUUUGCCAGCACAUGAAUUAUGAUCCAACCAUUUGAAUUACUCCCCUAAAAAACAUAUAAGUACCACGAAUUUACGGGGCAUGAGUUCGACCUUUCCAUUUGGAAAAAAAAAACAAGUGCCAUAAGGUUUUUCGUUUUCACUUUCAAUCACAAAAAUGCCACAUUUCCAAUUAGUAAAUAAUGUUUUCAUUGUUUCCUAUCCUCUACACAAAUAUUUGGAAACAAGAAACAAAAUUAAAAUAACAUAGAUAUUUUGUAAUUAAAGUGAAAACAAAGAACAAAAAACUAAAAAGAUGAUAUUUUCUCAACCAAACAUUUUAGAAAUUAAUCUUAUGUUUUGUUUUCCCAUUAUUAAAUGAGAUAAACCUGGAGGAGGAUGACAAUCGUUAUCCUAUCAUUGUUGUCAAAUUCUCAUGUGAACUCAAACUCUUACAAAUUUAUGAUUCAAAGUAGAAAAAUGAAUUAAAUCGCCAUCAAACUAAUUUGGAUAAAUCCAUAUAAAAACUCAAAUACUUUAAUCAAGAAACAAGUCUAUUAUUUCAAAAUCAAAUGAAUUUUUGCACGAUAUUGACUCCAAAGUGACUGUUCUAUACAGCUCAAGCAUUGUUUUUUAAGCCAACAUAAAUAUAACAUUUUCUAAGGGCUCAAAUGAUUUGAAGAAAUUAACUCUUUUCAAAUGUUUUUACUUAAAGAACUUAUGUUUUUAUGAAUCUAUAGAUUAUGUGAUUAUUUAUGUAGUUUGAUAUUAUGUAGUAAUAAUUACUAUCACAUACUACUGUGAGUCGGUACUUCGCUUUAUUAUGGAAUUGAAAUUUUGAAUCAUUGCAUUGUGUCAUUAAUAGAAUUUUUAUAUUAUCUUUCAACCAUAUAAGUCAAGUCUUUAGAAUCUUUACCAGUUUAAAUAUACUCUCAAGUUCGAUAACCUUGCUUCCUACCACUGCGAGAAACACAUGAAUAAUUUCAAGAAAACAUAGAGCCCAUUUAAUUUAAAGAUUUUCAAAUAUAUAGGUUAACCGGACAAAAGGAUUUAACAAGUUUAUCUUAACCAAAAAACACUACAAAACGGACAUCUAAAUAUCAUAAAUAACCAUUUAAUAAACAAUAGAUACUUAGUAUAUCAUCUUUCUUUUCUGUUUCUAAAUUAAAAUUUGUGCUUACUUUCAUCCUUAGCAUUUUAUAACAGUAUUCAACAAACACCGUAUGUUAGCAAGCUUCCCCACAGAGGUUUGAACAUGUCAUUGACUAUCUUAUGCAGCAAAGUUAAUAACUAAAAUAAAUAUAACAUCAUCAUGAAAUGUGACAACAUACUACCAGAUCAUAAGUUUCUAUUAAAUCCCAAAAUUGAAGUGCUUCUAGAAAUCCAACAACUCAUUGAUCAUGACCACACCAAUUAAAAGAGGGACUAAGAAAGUACAUUAUGCUAUGGAUGCUAGACGCAACUGAGAAGAUCAUCUACAAAGAAAAAUUGAGGAAAGAAGAAGAAAAGAAAAGAAAGUGAAGUGUCGGCCUCAAGAGAGAAGCAUAGUGAAGAAAGUACGUGAGCAACUUAAUCUUAUAUCUUCAUUCUAAUUACUUUCAGCUUCAGAGAACAUGAUCAAACAAUGCCAUACGCAUGUUUUAUUGCUGCAUUAGAACAAAGACAACAAUGGCCACUUCUCAUUCCUAAUAAUGGAGAAGCAGGAUGCACAUAUUCACCAAGACAUUUUGGAGGAUCCAGGCUCAACGUUUUAUCAGUAAGUAAAUGUAAAAGGUACUUUUCAUCCGGAGUUAUUAUAAUCCACGGAAGUCAAAUUUAUGGCAGUAAAACAGGAUGCUGGCAAUGAAUAUAAGCACUAUACCAAAUACAUUCUUCAACCCUACCACCUUAACUACCGGUAGAACCAGGGCAUAAGACCACAUGCACCAAAAUCAUAACCCUCAAAGUUUACAAAACAUCAACAUAUUUAAGAAAUACCUGUAAGCUCUGCACCUCUGCUUUAAACUUGGACAGAUUGGAUUCUUGCAUCAUCUCAGUCUUCAAAAGAAAAUUGACCGAAACAGCUUAUAUUAGUACCAAUUGUACCGUUAUGAAAUUUAUAAAACUGACAAGGGACAAUGUGAAGGCGGAUUUUAAAUCCACAAAACAAGGAUUAUAGUUGGCACUAAGGGGUCUUACUUUCUGCAUUUCUCCUUUAGAUACUAACGACUGAGACACAUUUUCGAGACUGUCAUUCAAAACUUCGGUUAUGGCAGCGGUUAUUGCCUCAGCUUGUUUCGAGGGUACUCCUUCCCCCUCUAGUCUUCUAACCUAUACGCCAAAAAAAAAUAAAAAAAUUAAGCAAACAAAUCAAGCCAAUAAAUUGAAGCAAACAAUUUGCAACAUGGCAAUUCACUAACCCUUGUUCGGAAUUGCAAAUAAAAGUGAAUUCCAAACAAGGGAAACAAAUGAGAGGGAAAAUGUAAAUUAUUACAAGGGCUAAGGUGUCAACGAGAAACAAGUGUUUUCCGUUAGAUUUCACCAAUUGAGAAAAAUGUCUUGUCCCCGAAACAGGAAAUGGAUGGAAUAUUGCUCUUUCGAACGACGACGACGACGAGACUUGGGAUUUGAAACCCCCAAAAGCUCCGAUCCCAGAUAACUGCCAUACCCGCUUACGAACCGCGGCCAUUUCUGAUUCCACGAACAAACCCCAAAAGUCGCACAACAAUUUUCAGCCUUCGCAGCAAGUAAUCUACAAAUCGAACAAAGCACAGAUUUAUAUCGCACGAAGAGAGCACAUAAGUUUGUAAAAAAAUCACGUUUCUUAUUUCUCUCUCUUUAAUCCUUGUUUUUUCAGUAAUGGGAAUGAAAGGGUGUGAAAGAAUGUUAAAAGAAAAGGAAAAGGUAAAGAUUGAUCGGCCUGGGGAAGUGUGAAAUGGACGGUUACCUCAAGCAAUGACCAAUGGGAGGAGGAGAAUGAGAGAGAAGCUGCUCCACCUCGUUAAUCAGUGUUGUUGCAGUGAUGAGUCAUCAAAUCGAAGACACGAAUACUAAUGGUGCUCGUCAACAAAAGGAGUUGCUUUGCUACUAUCAAAGGCAAGCAAAAAACGGAACGAAUCUCUUGGGGGUUCACCACACCAUCCCUUUCCCUUUCUUCAACUGCAGACACUGAACGCGUUACGACAAUCACAAUUUCAACUUAUUUUCUAAUACGGAUUUUGAUUUAUCGGUUUCUCAAAAAUAAAAAUUUGGUUGAAAUUUCAUAUUUAGAGUUUAAUGUAUUGAUUUUAAGAUCAUUUUCUUAAUCUUUAAUACUCUAGUUAAUUGCACAUGCACCAAAAAUAAAAUGAACCACGUUAUCAGUUAAUUUUAUACCUUAAUUUUGAUUUGUCUAUAAAACCUUACGUCGUAGCUGUAUAUAAAAAAUAAUACAAGGGACUUUUAUCAUUAGGGAAUUUUAUUUAGGGAAGCUGCUAUCAGAAACACCUUUCAGAAAACUACAGAAAGCUGUUGUUUUUCAUUAUUUUAUUGUAUAAUAAUGACAACAAAAUUUAAGUUUACUACUAUACAAACUUUUUAAACUCUGUUAAGCCAAUCCUAAUGGGUUGCUUUUGUUAUCCAUUAUUAAAUCCUAUUUUGCACCUUUUAAUUUUAAUUGAAAUUUGUUUUGAGACCCAUGCACUUCGUGCUGUUUUCUAUAGUAACAAACAGGUAAUAUUAUUAGGUCCAGAAUGCGAUGAAGAAUAAGAUUAAAUGGCAAGAAACCAACAUCCAAGUUAAAAUAUACCCAAUUUCUUUAUAAAAAAAAGUAACAUAAAUAGAACUUUUUACAUUUGAAACUAAAAAAAGUAAUACAUCCUUAUAGUAAUGCUAAUACAGAAAUAAAUUUCAUGCAUAACUUCUGAAUAAUGUCAAACUUUUAAGUGUAUGCAAGAAAAGCACCCUCAUGAAAGGUUCACUGUAUGCAAGAAAUGUUGUUAUAUACAGGAUAAUAUGUAUCCAAUUGAAGUUGGUCUAAGAUCCUUGGGGUAGCCCACAGAUAAGACGAAUGGCCUUCAAUGUGAUCUGUCACAUCCACCUGCAAACCAAGAACAGACGCACAUUCUCUUAAAACAUAAAUAUUCAUAACUUAUGAAUGCAACUUAGAAAACUAGUUCUGUAUGUCAGCAAAGAGGAUGAAGAAGCAUCUUACAUUUUGGAUCCCAGGAAUAUCGACAGGUUGGAUUCCAGCUAAUCCUUUCGUAAGUAGACUGCUCAAAUUUAAAAAAAUAUAAUGCUAAAUAAUUAUUUUUUAUUUGUGUCUAUUAAAAUCAAUUCUUCUAAAUUAAAUUGUUUUACAUGUUCCUAAAAGAAUGGCAAAUAAUCACUAACACUGCGAACUACACAGGUCAGCUACACAUAAUAAGUAGAAAAUUUCUCGUGAUAUGGCUGAAAGUAACACCUCAUCUCCAAAAGCAAUUGUCCCAUAUGCACCUAUUGUUCAAGUUGUGUCACCUAUUCAUUUCCUAUAUGAUACUUAAGUCAUAGUUAUCAAUGAAAUAUCUAUUCCAUACAACUAAAAAUAAUUUAUAAUUUUUUAUUUAGACAAUCUAACAAAUAUAAUUUUAAUUUGGAUCCGCACAAUUACAAUUAUAUAUUUAUUAUGUUUUAAGAAUUUUUACACAUUUUUAAAUAUAUAUUUAUCUCGCACCAUAUCCUCUUAUGUUCAAAAUAAGCAUAUCACUACAUCAUAGGCAAUGAGUCUACUACCACACACAAAAAGGUUUAUGCCUUGUUUGGAUUAGGAAGUGGGUUUGAGGGAGUAGAUUUGAGAUGAUUCGAAGGAAAUGUGUGAAGAAAAUGAGAUUGUUUGGAUUAAGGUAAAUAAAAUAGAAAGUGUAGAAAAAGUUUAUGAAAAUUUGUGAGUGAUGGGAUGCAUCUGAUUGAAAUUAUAUUUUUCUAAUUGAUAAAAUUAUAAAUUUACAAAUUUACUUUUAUAUUUAAAAAUUAUUAAAAAAUUAAUUGGAUUGAUUUAUUUAUAAAUUAAAUAACUUUAUUAUUUUUAUCUUUAUCUUUUAUAAUUAAUAUAAUUAUUAUAUAAAUAUAUUUUUUUAUUUAAAUAUAUUUAUUAUUAUUAUUAUUGUUUAUAUUUAUACUUAUAAAUAAUUAAUUAUGUUAUUUUAUAAUAAAUAUUUUUUUACAGUUUUAAUUAUAUUUUUAUAUUUGAAUUAUAAUCUUAUUUUAAAUAAAAAUAAUAAUUUUAGUUUAAAAUAAAUAAAAAAACUAACCUAAGCUAUAAAGCAACUUUUGUGGCAAUUCUUUCUUACCACAGAAAGUUUUAAGCAGACAACCUUUUUUUUUUCGUGUUUUAUUUAAUAUCUUGUUUUUCAUGUUUUACUCUCAAACAAUAAAUCUUCUCCUUUCCGCUCCCAAAAACAAACGGAGCCUUAAUGUGAAGAUGACGACAAUCCACAAAAAGACAUACUUGAAGAGGCAUCAAUGAAUACUUACCAACUUCCACUUCAGGUAUAAACAUACAGACCAAAACAUUGGACGAUGGGCUAUGUAGUGUGAAACUUCUUCUCACGUACAAAAAGUUAUGCAAUUUCAUGAUAUUGGUUUCUUUUAUCAAGUUAAUAGGUAUCACGGCCAACUUGAAAUACAUAACUUUGCAUACAUUUAACAAUUAUAUCUCAAGAUACCUGGCACGGAAGGCAAGUCCAAGCAUCCAGUCAUUCCUCGAAUAAGCAUUUACAAAUCUUCCUGCUACCAUCUAUAGAAUACCGUGAUGUUAGAAAAGAUUUAUUCUCAUUAUACGGAUGAGAAAGUUGUACUAAGAAAAUUAAAUGCCCCACAAACCUUUCGAGCUGCUUCCCAGUUCUCGUCCUUGAUUGGGAUGGGUGCUCCAAGAAGUACAACUCUUUCUACUAGUUCAGCUGCCAAUAAAUAAAAGUGACAAGGUAACUUCAUUCAAUGAAUAAAGAUGGCUAGAGUAUACCAAGGACGUAACAUUAUAUGCAUCCGUCACUAGAAUCAAUAAAUGAAUAAAAGAACAGGAAAUGAUCUCAUGUGUAGUAAAAUAAUCUAAACACAUCAAGGAUGAACAAAGGAAAGGGAGGAAAUACCUACCACUGUUUUCAGUUUUAGCCAAACACUGUAAGCACUUAAAAAUAACCCUCGCCCCUAGUGAGUAACCUAUAAGUGUCACGGGCCUGAAAUUCAAACAUCGAUAAGAAUACAUCCAUCUACAAUUUUCUUGGAGCGGGAGUAAAAGUAACUCUGGAAUUCGUCAAAUACCUAUUUCCCUGCAGUCCUUUUAACAAUACUUCAGCAAGCAACUUACCAGCUUUGUUUGAUCUGAAAAUCAAGACUAACUCAGCAUGUAGAUCCAAAAGUAAUCAAAGAAAGGAAACUGAUCAUGACAAAUUUUUCAUUGAGAUUGUGAAGCCAUCACAUUAACAAAACCUUUUAUCAAGAAAAAAAAAGCACUAGAUACUCCUUGACAUGCCAAAUCAAAACCACCUUGACAUCAGCUUUCAGCUUUGCAUAUUAAUGAUCAAUUAAAUUGACACUUUAAAAAUACAAGUUAAAACAUAAUGAAACUAAACUUGAACAUGAUGAUCAAACAACAAUUCAAUCCUCAAAUAAUAAUUUUCUAAUAUCUUUAGUGGUGAAAAAAGUGAGGGGCAACUUUAAAUUCCUCAGAAAUUUAAGUUAGUCCCAGGCAGCCGUCAGAUACCAGGACCCAGUUAUUCAACAGAUUAACUCACUAAUACCACAAUCCAACAAAAACAGUUGAAACCUUGAACUGAAAAUUAGAACACUGAUAUUAAAUGUGAUAUGUUGUUUAAAAAAUUCACCUUAUCCAUAUAUUUAUAACAACACUCUAGGAUCAGUAACUUUAAUAGUCCAAAUAGUACAAACAUAGCCAAAACAAUAAGAAUCAUAAUUCCUGAUAUUUUAACCAUUUAGCAAAUUGAAUUGCAUUCAUGAUAUUCAGUAACAAAAGAAACAGGAAGAAGCUUCUUCUCCCCGCUACCAAGCAAUGUUGUAUUCUAGACAGAAUCGGGAAACAAAAUACACCUGCUUAUAGCAAUUGUCCAUUUACUGUCUAUAAAAUCGGUUGCUGCAAGUAAUGCAGCUGGCCAAGCCAAAGCAGUUAAGAGUGAACUCAAAACAGUCAUCAUAGCCCCUCGUUUCAUCAGCUCCAUCGCAAGUCCUGAUGCAAGUCACAGCAAUAUAAACAUCAUUCAAAGAGGUACUUAUGUAAUAAUAACAGUUUUAUUAGAAUCCUAAAUCCCAAACUCACUUGAAGUAAGCCAAUCUUGAAUUGCAGUGCUCACAGCAAUCAGAUUCUUGGACUCCCACUGCAGCGCAUACCUAACUUUAGGCAACAUAACAAGAAAGGUCAUUUCUGUUGGCAAGGAUGGUCACUGUCAAUCAUAAGAAUAAUAACACUACAGUUUCAAGAUAAACUAAACUAAAAAUACAAGCUGAUUUCAAUAGAACAGUGUAAUUUUCUAUCAACAUCAAGCUUUCUAAGGUGUCCUUGACCAUUGAAGGGCAAUAUUCACUAUUGUACCUCUCCAAGUUGUCAUUACAUCCUUCCCAAGGCCUUAUAAAAUCUUCCUUCUCAAAGACAAAUCCAGAGACUAAGAUCUCAACCCCUAGCCUCUGCAAGCAGAAGUUCAACAAGAAACUAAUUUAAAAAAAUAACCAGGUACAGAUGUAUUGUUUGAUAUAUAAGAAAGGUGGGACAAAGUUCAUACAAAUGCACACAGAAACAUAGUUACAGAAACAUAGUUCAUAACUCAAUUUAAGCAAGUGAAGUCACAAGAAAACAGGAACAUGAAAGAUAUAAAAACCUACGCCUUGGUUAUGGUUUUCUCCAAUAGCCUUGAAUUCAAACUCAUCAACUCCCCCAACUCUCCUAGCCAUUUUGCUUCCAGUAAGUCCAGCUCCUGCAGCUGGAAGAAGUAGAACAAAGAGAUACAUAAAAAAUUUCAUUGUUUAAAAAAGGAAUUUGACUGAUACAAAAAAGUAUAAAGAACUGCAAGAUCAAUGAAUCAAUUGCCCUACACAUUGACACUUUCAUCACAAUAAUAAUAAUAUUAUUAUUUGUUAACAGAUAAGGAACCAGCGUUGUGUACUUUGAAGAAAUCAAAUGUACUGUCAUCACAAAACAGGAUAUAUCAGAUAUUAUAUGGGCCUGCAUCACUCCUCCAGUUAGUUACAAUCUAAAGUAAACACAAACUCUCAUGUAAAAUUUGUAUUUAUGGCAAUCUAAGAGGAAGUUAUCUUAUUUAAGCAGAUAGUGUAAGCAUGUAAAUGGAUAAUUACAACAACAAAAAGCCUUAAACUACAAACUAAACUUUAAAAAAAAUGAGAGAAAGGAUGCCAUAGAAACGGGAUAUGAUCGAAUUCUAGGAAAUCUAAUCACAUUAUAGGCAAAUAUAAACCUCCAAAUGAUGCAGCAACAGCAACAGAACCAGCAACUGUUCCUGCAGCACUAGCGGCUGCAGCAAAUCCACUUGCUCCAAUUACAGGGAUCAGAGUACCCAAUGUUGGAGCCAAAGCACCUAGACCUGCUGCAAUGGCUGGUGCAGCUAACCCUGUUGAAUGAAAACAAACAUAUUUUCUAAAAAGCUAAUUCAUGUGGAAAUUCUAUAUUCCAUAAUACAGUUACAAAAGAUAACAUGGUCUGCAUACCACCAGUAAUAGCCAACAAAGUUCCACCAGUUAUUGCUGCAGCACCAAUUAUACCACCCCGCUUCAAUUUAGCCCACUUGCUUUCUUUUGGUUGAGUUUCUUCUUUCUUUGAUUCUUGUGCCUUAAUAAAAGCCAUCGCAGAACAAGCAGCCAUGGUCUCAAUGGCCUCCUACAAAAACCAAUACUCGUCUUAAUCAUUAAAGAUACAGGACCAGUGAAUAUGAGAGAUUCAAAUAACUGACAAUACAACGCAAUUUUAUAACAUACAAACAUUUACAAUCACAUUCAACUUGAAUUCCAGUAGCUUAGAAAUCAAGGCAAACAUAUAGGCAAUGUUCACCACAAUCCAGCAUACAAAGUCAGAAGCCAAGGCACUCAUCUAACGAUUCCCAACAUAAGACAAGUUAUUUACCAAUCAGGCAAUCAUAUAAAGUUCCAUUCUAAAAAUUUCAUCAAACAAACCAUUUUCAUCCACUUGACAUCAAGCCAUGUUGCGAGCAACCGCAGAGCCACACGAUGUCGAGCAUCAUAGCCCUUCCUUCUCUGCCCGAUAUCUUCACCUAAAUUUGACAAACAAGCAGACAGUAGUUCAUACAGAACUGUCACCUUCCUCUGAUCACUCAGCAUCAUUACUUCCUCAUUUGGUCUAUCAUCAAUCUUCCAACUAACAGACCCAUGCUGUGGCUCUUCAGAGUCAACUAUAGGAGCAAUAUCCAUUACCUUCUGAACUUCGAAAUGAUCAUCUACCUUUUCAUCAAGAGGCUGAACCUCACCAAUUGAGAACUUCUCACGACAUUGAUUCUCAUAUUCGCGAAGCAUCUCCCUUUUAGACUCGGAAGACUCCAAGUUUUGCUGCAUUUCAUGUGUGAUACCAUCAACUGCACUUGACAAAGCAAGUUCUUGAUCUAACGUUUGAGAAGAACCAUCGUCCAAUUCUUGUGAAAGUAACCUCAAGAACUGUAACAUUCAAAUGCAUAUUAUUUUCUAUUAGCAAUAUAUCAAAAUGAAAAAAAAUGCCAGUUACACGCUGUCUAACAAACGAUUUCCACCACAAGUUCUACUGUUAAUUGAAACUCUUUAGAAAUCAACAGAAUCACUAAUGCGUAAUUUCCUUACGAAUGAGAACGAACAAGUAGUGAAACGUACCGGUCCCACGUGAUGCGUAGCGGAAGAAGAACCAGCGGUUUCCUCUAGUCCAAGCCACGCAGCGGAAUCAAUUUCAAGAAACCUGUUCAAAUUCGGAUUCAUAUUCAGAGAUUCAAAAUAACUAUCAGGAUUUUCCCUGAAUUAGAAUUAACACGUACUUAAAAACGGGGCGGAGCAAACCCGAAUUGUUGUGGACCCAAAGAUCCGGGUCCUCGGAGACCGAGUCGCUGCUGGAGCUACUACUGGUUCGCUGCUCGGAUUCCUCCGUAACGGGUAACGGCAACGGGUUGGUUUGAUUGAGUUGAGCCUCGUGCAGUGCCAGGCCAAACAAUGCGCCGGCAGCGUACCUCUGCGUCGGCGACAAAAGCGACGGCGCCGUCGUCGUGGGUUCCGCCAUGUGCGGUGCGAUGAUUGCGAAGAUGAAGUAUCGUUUUCUUCUUAGGAAGGGUUAUCUGAGAGAGAAAGAGGAAUCGACGUCGUUUGGAGGUGAAGGGAAAUGAAAAUGGGGAACAUGUGUGUGCGCUUCAAGGAAAGACGAAACCAAAGAGGUUUAAUAUGUUUGCAUUUUUAACUUCGUCGUGUGGGGUGACGUGGCGCACCGGACCUUUUCAGAAUCUGAACUAUGUAUCAAUGCCGGAUAAAUAUAGUGUUUUUUUUUAUAAUUUAAUAAUUCAAUAUUAUUAAAAAAAAAGUAAAAAAAAAACUCGAGCACACAAAAAAAAAAAGGUCAACCUUGUGUAUAUCGAUAUAAUUUCUUACUUUUUAAAUAGGUGAAAUUUGAUAAAAAAAAAUAUAAAUAGAGAUAUUCAGUUAAUUCAGUUUUUAAUAUGGAUUAUAUUGAAUAUUCUGAAAAUAUUUUUUUAUUCUUAAUGGGUUUAUUAAACUCUUGUAAAAUUACUUCUCAUAAACAACUAUUGGUGACCCUCUGAAAAAACAAUAAUUAGAGACUCGGAAGAAAAAAAAAGUGUAUAUAAAGAUGUAACAUCUUUUUACAAAGUGAAAUCAUGUUAAAAUUCAAUUUUAUAACUAUGAUAUACAUUAUGCCAUGGAAUAUAGAUAUGGAAAAUAUCACAUAUUUUAUCAUUUAUCUUACAUCAUACUUGAAUGAAUCAUUGGUUAUUUAGAUUUAGACUUGCUUUACCAUUAAUAGUUGAAUAAUUAUGCCUCGUAUAUAUAUGAGGUAUAUUGACUAAAGGAUGAAGUGUAGGUAGUAUAAGUAUCAUCUUGUAAGCAUAUAAAGAAAUAUAUUCAAAAAAAAUACUAGAAAUUUAUAAUUAAUUCUUUUAACUGGAUUAAACAAACAUACACAAAAGAAGAUAACAAAAUCAUUUAAAUAAAAUCUAUAUAAAAUGCUAUGAUUCUUAUAUAAUAAAUGUAAUACUUGAUAUAAUGCACACAUUAGACAAAAGAUAUGUACACAUAUAUAAAUUGUAACAUAAUAUUUUAAUUUUACCCAAGAAAGUGCUUUUAAAACAUGAUCUUUAUAUAAUAGAUACUUUUAAAAAAAAUAAUUAAAUAUGUAUAUCUUCAUAGUCCAAAAAAGGAGAGGUUUAUAUGAAAAAUCUAUAUAUGCCUAAUAAUGCCUUCAAAAUAUUCAUUGACAUUUAUUCAUGUAUUAAAUUCUAUCAUAACAAACCAAAUAAUCAUUGACUUUUUAACAUUAAAUCUGUAUACAACUAAAUAUGGUGAACACAAUUUGACACAAGACAAAAAAAAAAAACUUAUAAAAUUCAUAUUAUAGUAUGAUAUAUUAGAAAACUAACACCUUAUUCAAUCAAACACUUUGAUCUCUAAAUAGAUAAAAAAAAAUCAAAGAUCAAUGUAAGUUCAUUACAAUUGAUAAUUGUAUAUCUACAAAUAUUUUAUGUUUGUAAUAAUUUUUCCUCAACUUCUUAACAUAUGAUGUCUUAAAUUAUAUAAUUUAGAUAAUUAGUGAGUAAGGAGAUUUUUUGUUAUAUUGAAAGUUUUAUUACUUAAUAAUCACAAAUACGAUCAAGAUCAACACGUCAUCCAUGCAUAUGCGACUUAACCAAUCUAAUUCUAACAUAAUAAUAUCAUAUAUAAAUAAAAAUAUAAUAUUUGAAACCAUUUAUAAUAAUUAUAACACAUGAAACUACUUCCACACAUAUAAAAUCAUAACAAAGUUCAUUAGUUGAGUGAUUUACACUUAAGAGAUAUAAAAUCAUAACAAAGUUCAUUAGUUGAGUGAUUUACUCUUAAAAUAAUUCUUAGCUCACUAAUUUAUUUUAGCUAGACGAAUUUUAUUUUAUUUGGCUUACUCACCUAAAUUCAUUGAGAAAAUGGUUAUUAGUUGGACGAAUUUAGUUUAAAACAUACCUUAACUUUAUGACUGAGAUUUUAUCUCUAAACAAAUUAUACAAACCAACCGUUUUACAAAAUUUACUAAAAUUAAUUUCAAAUCCAAAUUAACGCAUUCACAUAAUUCUAAUAAAUAUCGAUUAAUACAUAUAAAGUAUAAAUUUCAUGUAAUGACUAGUAUUAUUCAAACGAGGUAAUACAACCUAAAUUCAAGUGAAAAAUCAACAAUUCCAGAUAAAAGAUAAUUUAAUCCAAUCAUAUUCCAUUUAAAUAAUUAUUUCUAACUACGUAGUAACAAGUCUUAAACUUCAAUACUAAUAUGUUUUUCAAUCCAAAUUUUAUAUAUUUCAACUUAAUAUGGCUACCUAAAACAUAAGUAUCCAUUUAAAAUCAAACCUUCAAGUUUAACAAUAAUAACAAUAUAUAUAGCAAAUAAAUGGGAAGAUAUAAUUUUUUUAUUUUUAUUUUGUUUAAAAUUAAAUUAAAUUAUCGUGUCCUCAUCUUUUAUCAUCUAAAAGAGAUAAGAGUUAAAGUUAAAAUUUAAGACUAAAAACGAUUACUUUAUGGAAAAUAAAGAAAGAAAAGAGAGAAAAUAGUAGAAAAAAAUGAGACUUUUAACUUAUAGAUCCAACCAUAGUUGUGAGUUAUGAAAAAGAUUAGCCCAAGUAACUAUUGUAUUGAUUUAGAAGAGAAAACCAUUUUAUUCAAUUAUUUCGAUUUUCUUAAAUGAUAAUUCAUUCAAUUGGUUUAAGUAAAAAAAUUAUAUAAUUUAAAUUGGUUUUAUUGAAAUUCAUUUUUAUUUUUAUUUAUUCUUACUUUUUAAACAUCAAGAUGCAUAAUCUAUAACAAAUAUAUAUAAAAGGGAUUUUUUUUACAUAUUUCAUUUUCUAAUUUUAUCCUUUAUAAUAUUAAAAUAUAAUAAAUUCAAUAAUUAUUUAUUUUAAAUUAAAAAAUUUAGAAAAAAUGAAUUUGAAAAUAAAACAAAGAAUCCAAUUUCAAUUUUACUUUUUAAAUAACUACUUUUUUUUAAAAUUCAAAUAAUUCUUCCUAAUCAACUACACAAUAACAAAAUUACAUACAACAAACUUAAAAAAUUAUUUUUCUAUAAUUAUUUUUAAUAAAAAUAUUUUGUAUAAUUUAAUAGUAAAAAUAGUCUAGAUUUCAUUUACACGUCAUUACAUAAUUAGUAAUAGUAUACAGUUUUAAAUAUACACUGCAUCAAUGUUUUUUUAUACAAACAUAUAAUUAUAUGCAUGCAUUACUCAAAUAAUUAAUAAAUUGUUUAAAUUAAAUAGAUUCUUAUAGAAAGCCAUAAGUUACAUGAUGACGAUGCAAAGAUAAUGUAAUAAAUAAAAAUAUAAACACAAGUAAUUUUAAAAAUUACUUAAACGUUUUUAGUUAGGAGUGAGUUUUGAUUUUGGUUUCUUAAUUUUUAUUUAUUUUUACUGUUUAAAAUUGCAGUAAGAGUGUAAUGAAAAAUGAAGUUAGUGUGUUGUUAUUGUCAUUUUUCUUUUAAUAAUGUUUCUUUUGACACUUUUUUUUUUAAUUUUUAUUUUACAAUUUUUUUAAUAAUAAAAUAAAUAAUUUUUUAAAAGAAAAUAAUAAUAUUAUUGGUGGUGAAGUUAAGAGUUUCUUUUUCACAGUUGUUGUUACUGUUAUUGAUUUUCAUAAAAUUGUGUGGAACAGGGUUUUGGUCUUCUCCUAAUUCUCCCCUCUCUCUUCUCGUUCCCAUUGCUAUCCGUUGCCCCUUUCAUUUUCUUACACCUUUCAGUGGUAACGAGCGUAUCAACUUCUUCUUUCGAUUCAAUUGUAUGUAAUAUGCAAUAGUUUUUUGUUGUUUUCUCAUUAACUUAAUCCCUCUGUUCUGGAAUACUAUUUGAUGAUGCUUAUUUCUUUUUUUGAACGGUUCUUACAACGUUCUAGUCUGUGCCCAAUUGCGCCGGUAUUAAAGUUCAAUUUUUUCUGUCUCUCCUUACAGUCCCUGAGGUGGCUGCACCUAUUUUUAUGAUUGUUCUUUUUGUUAUAAUGAACUCCAGUUGUAGUGGCAUGAAGGUUUUAAAUUGAGCUUGAAAUUGCGGAAAACUGAUGGUAAAUGAUUAAAUGUGGCCGGAGUUGCGAUUGGGGAGAUUUUGGAAUCAAAACCUCUGGUUGCAACUUAGUAUGACACUAGGGUGGUCUGCCCUAGUUGGUGUAUGGUGGUAGUAAUAGGUGUAUAUUAUCUCGUCUUUUUGUGGUUAAAUACUAGAUGUGCUGAAGUUGAUGCAUGGUAGUAGUAAUAGAUGUGUGGAAUUGUUACCUUGGUAGUGCUGAAGUUUCAAUGUGGAUAAUAAGAUGAUUAAAGGUGUUUAUACUGAACAACUCGAACUAAGUUUUUUAGUUUAUGACAGUUAAGUUGGGUCUACUAAUCCCUCGAGAAAAAGGGGGAAAUGGUGAUAUAUAUAAUCAGAAAAUUAUAAAUUUAGAGACUAAGUUUAGGAAUCUAACAAUUAGUGGAUUAAUUAUAUUAUGAUAGCAAUUGGUUUGUAUCUGUAAUAUGCUUAUAAUUGUCUUUUUAUAUACUGCAAUCUUUGUCCAUAGAUUUUGAUUUUCUUGUCUAUUUUUUUUUCUUUGGACAUUGAAAUAUCAAGUUGUGUUCUCAAUUUCUCACAAAGCAUAAACAGGUAGGUCAUAUUCCCAGAGGAUUUUAGUAACAAUGACUGCAUCUGGGUUGAGUGGCUGUCCCUCAAGAUGUCCCCAGCUACCUUUUAGUCGCCUAGGAUCACGCCAUGUUCGGGUUAUGGCUUUCUCUGUGGCUGGGAAAUCCAAACAAGGAAUGGAGUUUCUCCAGGUUAAAAGGUACACUAUUAAUCAUCACCUCAUGAGUUUGAAAAUUCAUGCAAGGUUCAUAGCAAGUUAAAUGGAUAAACAGUUUUUUAUUUUCCUCACCUUUUCACUUUACAGAACAAGUUAUUUUUCUCCUUUAUUAAAAUGCAAUAGACGACGAGUUCAGUUGAUCAAAAGUGCCAUGGAUGCUUCAUUUGGUGAUAUGGCUAAUGAUUCUGCUGGUAACAUUUCUUUCUUGAAGAAGCUCUAUCCUUAUGUUUUAUGAUGUAGAAAAUUUCACUGCUAGGGCAUUGAUAAUGUAAACUGAUUUGUUAGGUGCUUGGUAAAUGGUACUUUUUCCUCAAGCAAUACAUUAGUAAAAUAAAACUUAAUUGAAAAUGAUUAUGUGAUCAUCGUGGAUGUUUGGUCCUCUCUGAGUGCUAGGCUGGGAAUUUAAGCACAUUGUUCAUAGCUCUUGGGGUGUUUUUGAGAACUGGAACUGGAAUGUGAUAUAAAUGUUAGUGGUACCCUACCAGCUGGGGAGGCUAGGUGAACUAACUGAAUGCUAGGCUGGGAAUUUAAGCACAUUGUUCAUAGGUCUUGGGGUAUUUUUGAGAACUAGAACUGGAAUGUGAUAUAAAUAGAGUGACACCUUAUCUGCUGGGGAGGCUAGGUGGACUAACUGUAGGAGAUUGAAGGUGGACUAACUGAAUGCUAGGCUGGGAAUCUAAGCACAUUGUUCAUAACUCUUGGGGUGGUUUUGGGAACUGGAACUGGAACUGAAGUGUGAUAUAAAUGGAGUGGUACCCUACCAGCUGGGGAGGCUAGGUGUGGACUAACUGAAUGAGAUUGAAGGUGGACUAACUGUAGGAGAUUGAAGGUGGAAACUGUUUUUCAUUCUUUUGAUUUCGAGGGUACAAUUUUUUUUUUCUUUUAGUUUAUUAAUUGGUUUAUCGGUAAUAGAUUAUGCUUUACUGUUUGGCCAGAAUGGAUAUUUCCCUUCUUUCCCAAGCCCCCACCUUUCUUGUUGAAAACUGAAAGAUAUUAGUUGCUAGUUUGAUGGAUUUCAUUGUAAUGAAUUUUUUCAUUAAUUAUUUUCCACCUAAAGCGUAUGAAACUUGAAUCUCUUACAAAAAAAGCCAUUAGGGUUUUAAAUAGCGUGCCAUAGUGGUGGAGCAGUUGGGAGAAGCCCCUGCAGAGGGGCAAUAGCAAAGUGGUUUAUUGUAGUGGGUGUAGCACACGAAAUAGUGGCACGCUGUAGUGGUUCCAGAAAGCCCUUUGAACAGAGAAAUUAGAACUUUUUUGGGGAGGGUGUUUUUGGGAUUUCAAUUUCCAAAAUGAAAUCUUCAGCUGUAAUAGUACGUGGUAGAUGCUAUAUCUUUUUUGGGUUCAUCCGCUAUCCAGGAUUUAAAACUAUGAAACCAAUAAUAUAUUAUUGCGUAGGUUAUCAUUUUACUGAUGAUUUGCUGCAAAUGCAGCUGUUUUUCCAAGAAUUAAUGUGAAGGACCCAUAUAAACGACUUGGAAUAAGCAGGGAAGCUUCUGAAGAUGAGAUUCAAGGAGCAAGAAACUUCCUGAUUCAAAAAUAUGCGGGACACAAGCCAAGUGUAGAUGCUAUUGAAUCAGCGCAUGACAAAAUAAUCAUGCAGAAGUUCUAUGAACGGAAAAACCCAAAAAUUGACAUUAAGAAGAAAAUGAGGGAAGUUAAUCAAUCCAAAAUUGUUCAAACUGUCAGAGGAAGAUUUCAAACUCCAUCCACAAAAUUCAUUAUAAAAACAUCACUAGCAUUCUUGGUACUUGGAAUUUUAACUGUCCUCUUUCCAACUGAGGAAGGGCCAACUCUUCAGGUAGCAAUAUCUCUGAUUGCCACAAUGUACUUUCUAUAUGAGCGGCUGAAGAGCAAGAUUCGAACUUUACUAUAUGGGUACGUACACAAAUGCGUUUUGUUCUUUCAAAUGUUAUUCUCUGUUAGCUCAUCAUAUGUUAUUUUUUCAUUUAGAAACAUCACAUUGCCAUGGUGUGACAUUCUGAUGUUGAUUUCAUUGUGCCUAUCUCUAGAAUUUUAUUCAUCUGUGGUUUUUCUUCUUAUAUAACGUGAUGCUUUGAUGCAAGGUUUGGAGCCUUUGCUAUUUCGUGGCUGUUGGGAACCUUCUUGAUGGUGUCAGUAAUUCCUCCUAUUACCAUACUUAAGGGACCAAGGGCAUUUGAAGUGAUCUCAUCAUUGAUUACAUAUGUUUUAUUAUGGGUUUCAUCGACCUAUGUUAGGUGAAGAGGGUUUAAGGCAGAAGACCAGUUUUUGCAGUGGAAGUUCACAAAAUAUUAUGGCUUACCUUAUUCAGUGUUCAAAUUAUAGCUCAAAGGAAAAAAAAUGAAAUUCCUUAUUUUGUUGAUGAGCUGUUUUUUUUUCUAGAUUCAAUAUUUCAAUGAGCCAAGGAACUGGAGUUUUUUAGACACGGAAAUGAGUGCGUUUUGUUCAGUAUGGCAUGAAAGUUUUAGCUUUCAUCAAAUUGACAUAUAUCUCCUUCAAAGAGAUCUUUGUCCCCUUGAACGAGUCUAUCUAACGUGAUUCGAAUUACUUGUGAUCUAAUGUAAUUUCUAGGGAUCAAGGGUCUAAAAAAUGUUUACAUGCAUUAAUGUUGUUAUUCAGAACUGUGUGACCAAAGCUUUUCUGAUAUAAUAUAAUACAUAACCAGUUUUCUUUCUAUAUAAAUAAAAACAAAAUUCUUACAAACACAGUCAUGCCCUGCAAGCAAGUUCAUUUCCCAAAAUGCUACUAAUGACAUUUCAGUCUUGGUAGUAAAAAUAAUAUUAAUCUUAGGCCAUGCUUGGUGGUUAUAGUUAUAAGUUUUGAAACUUUGAACUUCUGAUCAUUUUUUGAAUUAUAUCAAUUUUAAUUGUUACUUUUUUCGACUUUUAUCAUUUUAAGUGUUAUCUUUUGCGUUUAUCUGAUUUUCACAUUUUUAAUUUUCAUCAUUUUAUCCUUUUUCUAAAAUUCAUUGUCGUAACAUAUGGCUACACAUUUAACGGGCUGAUAUAAAAAGUAGAAUAUUAAAAAAAGUUAUAGAAUAUGAAAUCAACUUUAAAUUUUUAAAAAUUAAAACUAGUUUUUUGUUUUUUCUUCUUUUUAAAUCUUCAUGUUAAUCUUAUAAUUUUCCGUUAAAAAGUUCAUUGGUAAGAUGCAAGACACUUCACGUGAGGCAAUUAUAAAGAUCUGAGAGUUAUGAGAAUCGAAUUAGUCAACAAGCCAUCAACUUAGUUAUGAAUCUGUAUCACUAGUAUAAUACCCUCCUUUUUGUUUGAUUUUUUUGUAUAUGUGAAUAAUUAUUACGAGAAUUUUCUAAAUAAGUAGUUAAAUAAAUUUUAAUUGCAACAUAAGUUUGGAUUUUUAUAAUUAAAAAUGGUAAAAAGGUUAUUUAUUGACGGAGUUUUGUAUCAGGCACCUUAUCUUAUAGUAUAUAAACAUUUUCCCUGGUAAAUGAAAAAAAGCUUAAACUUGGAAAAUGCUCCCUCCACCGUAUCAAUUUUUCCAUGCACCUUUUCCCUAAUACGAGAGGAUUGGGAAGGACGCACCUCUCGUGUGCCAGUUAUCAUGUCCACGGUAAACGCUGAACGGAUAACUACUGAAAGCAUCUAAGUAGGAAACCCACCCCAAGAUAAGUGCUCUCCUAUUCUGACUUUCCCAGAGCCUCCGAUAGCACAACCAAGACAAUGAUGGAUUCUCUACCCCAAUAGGGAUGGAGCAAAUGAAGUUUUGAGAAUUCAAGAAAAGAUUACGACGAGACGAGCCGUUUCUAAUUAAUGAUAAGUGUCAAGUGGAAGUGCAGUGAUGUAUGCAACUCAACCUGUUAUUGAAAAUGACAAAAAUACCCUCUAAAAAUGACAAAAGUAAUCUUAAAUAAAAAGAGUAAUCCAUAACCUUUUAUCUGAAAAUAUUCUGAAUUUGAAUAUUCAGAACACAUUUUUGAAUUCCAAAUUCUUUUAUCAAAAAUGGAUUUUUUAUUUAUUUAUUUUUGAAUUAUAUUUACUAUUCCAGAUUUUUAAAUCCGAAAUAAGAGUAAUUUUGAAAAUUUAAAAAAAUAUAAAGUGUAUGUUAGAAUUGAUAUAGUGCUGUGCCCUUAAACUUUACAAUCCAAACCCAAAUUUUAAGUCUUGAACUCAAUCUCACUAAUAUACUAUGAUAUUAGAAAAUCAACUUUAAAUUAACUCGACUUACAAAAUUAAUUUGUAAAAUAGAAUUUACACCUACUUAUCUUUAAUCAAGGUGAAAUAUCUAAUACAACUCUUACGAUGAGAUAAAAACAUAAACAUGCAGUGAGUAGAUAUGUUCUGCUUUAUAUUUGGUCAUUUUAUAUAAAGUUACUUAACAAAUAUUGCACGGUGUGAUAAUUAUCUUUUUAAAGGAAAGAAAUUCGAAAAGUAAUCGAAAGUUAUAGUGCAUCAUUGAAAGGGUGCAUGUAAAUAAUCAUAUAAAACUGCUGCCUGUGUCCAUGCAUUCAGAUAACCAUAAGUCCAUAUUGUCUGAAAUCUUUUGCCUUACUUUGUGAACUGCAUCAGGAGAGGUACAGUUUUUCUCACUACCUGAAAACAAAAUACAAAAUUACAAUGUUGGCUCAUAUUAUAACAUGAUUAAGCUAAACCAAUCUGAAUAUCAUUUAUUAAAAACAUAAAAGAGACACAUACCUCCAAUGGUGAACGGAGCUUGAGGACAUCCUCGAUAAUCAGAACAGUGGCCACAGUUAUAACAUGAAACAACGUAGGAAGGCACUGAAAGGUUUAAUAACAAUUAGGCAGCAUUCAAUGAACUGAAAAAAUAACAGUAUUGCUUGCAUUGCACACAAUCAAGGCAAAACAAUGUAUAUUUUUUACGAUGUAGCUACAUGAUUCAGAAUACUUCUUUUCCCCCCCCUUUAUUAGUCAAAUAAGGAUAAUGUUUGAGCUGUAACCUAAGAUCAUGUUGCUAACAUUCAAGCAAUUGAACAGGGUCACACAUUGGUUAAUGUAACUUUUAUUGGAAAUGAGCCACUCAUUUGUCCUAGAUAACCAUCAAAUAAACAAUCCAAGUAAGAUUCUAGAGAAAUAUGGUUCAAGUAUAACCCCCCAGAAAUAACAAGGAUCACAAAAGUUACUAACUAAACUGAUAAAAAAGUAACUAGCAACUUACAAUCAGGAGAUGAAGUUUGUUUGGACGCAUGGCGCCAAGGAUCUUGUGAGCCGUUUGUAAAUAUUAUUUUGGAACCUGUUCACGUACACCAGAAUAGAAUUACAUAAAAUCAGGUCAUAUUCAAGAAAUAGUAUGCAUAGUAAAACCAUAAGACGCCAUAAAAAGAUUGUACUGAAGAUUUUUUUCAUAUACUAACUUAUAAAUUUGAAAUAUGCAACAGAGAAUAUAAUUUUUUUCAAAAUGACAUCUUAAGCUCGUGUCAGGAUAAAUAACUAUGAGCAAAUCUAUGAGCAGGAUAAAUAACAACAGUAUAUAUAAUAUAAUGGGAAAGUCAAUGUCAUGUAAAUAUAUUAUUUAUGAAUUUUGACAUGUAUUGUUAAAUGUACAUAUGUUGCUAAAAUGACUGGGGUGUUAAGGUGGAGGAGAAUAACAUAAAAUUCAGGCAAAGGCAAGUUUCUAUACCAGCAAUUUUUGUGCCACCAUAGUAUAAAUUAGUUGCAUCAACGUCAGGAAAGGUGCCCUUUCCAAAGACAUUUUCGCAAAGGUCCAAGUGGUAUCUGCAAUGUAUGAGAAACCACUCUGUACAUAUUAACAACAUUAUAAAGAAAAAAAAUCCAAUAACUACAAACAUGAGAAGUAUGUAAAGCGAAUAGUGAGGAUAAGGAACUUGCUUUGUAUCAACUUUUGAGGAGCGAAUACUAUCAUUUGAGGGAGCCACCUGAAAGUAUGCAACUUCAGUGCAAACUUGAAACCACCAUAAUCGAGAAGCACUGUCUUCAUUAAUAUCAGUUCUUUUCAAGUACUUCUGAUCAUAACUCUGUACAGUAACACCAAAAGUUCCAGAGUAGUACUCUUUAACAUAUUUGGCAUAAGCAUCCUGCAUGUUAAAAUUAUUGUUUCCAUCAGAUGUAUUAAUCCACAAAGACAACUUUCUAAUGAAUUUAAAAUGGUGAUCCCGUGCACAAGGCUGCCACCUGGUGCAGUUAGGGGAGGGUAGAUGCGCACAACCUAACUCACAAGAUGGAAGAAACCUUACCACUGUGCCAAGACUUGCCCUCUAACAAAUGAAUGUAAAAUUGAAUAAAGACAAUCAUUGUCUGAUUAAAUGCACUAUCUCUUGCAUAUUACUUAAGAAAGAUACAAGUGACAAAAUGAAAAACAAAAAUAGAACAUUAUUUCAAUGUGCUAAGAAAAGAGGUGGAUGGAGCUAAUGAACAUAUCAAAUCAAGACACUCAAUCUAGAGAAUUCCUUUGUGACAAAAUACCAAAUUACAUGUUUAGUUAUGAAGAUCAUGAUUAAGGGGCUGAAUACAUCAGCUAGUGUGACCAUAACGAAGUAAUUGGAGUUAAGAGAAAACUAGUAAAGUAGAUAUGUUGUUUGUAAAUAUUUCAGAUAAAAGGGGCAGCAUAAAUGAAGAACCACACGCUAUCAUAGUGUACAUCAUAUUCAAAUUUGAGACUUUAAACCCCACCACCUUUUAUGCAAUGUGAGGAAUAGAACAAAUCUUGACUGAGUUGUAUAAAAUGACCAAGAAUCUUCAUACUAUUAGACUAUAAUUUAGAGUGGCAAAAGGAAACAAAAAACUAUAUAAACUAUCCAUUUGCAAACCGAGUGAACAAUUGGAGGGGGUGGGGAGUGUCAGAGGUUGUCAGUAAGUUAUACUAAAUCUCCCACCAGUACACACACACAUAAGGGAGAGAAGAACUCCAUCCACCAGUUUCCUAAUUUUUGGGAAAAGGAACCAAGUUGAAAAGCAUACCACCAAGUCCUCUCCGGCCUUCUUUGCUUCAACAAGAGGCUCACAUACUUUAUCUGGAUUUCCAUAUUGAAACUGUAAAAUUCAAAGAUCCAGAAAAAAGAGAAGACUGUUAAUGAAAUUUGAAUACAAGAAAUUGCAAUUAAUAACAAAACCACUUUAAUCGAAACACUUACUGCUGUAGCAGCAGCAUCAGCCAAAUAAUAAAAAAAGUCUCCAUCUAUUUCAAGCUGCAAAACAGAGGGAAAUAGUCAGUGUACAACAUGACAAGAAAACUAGUAAGCCUAAUAAUGAGCAAGAUAAUUCAUGUCCUGUGGCAAAAUAUAAUAUCCUUUUGCAAGGAAAGAGUAGCAAAGGAACAAAGCAUACAGCAUCUGCAUCAAAAGUGGCCUUCACUUCGCUUCCACUGCUUGCAAGUUUUUGUUCAACAAGUUGAGUAAUCUCUUGAAGCACUGCUUUACAUUCAGGACCUGCUGACUCACCAAUCUGCAGGUGAAAAAUAAAACCAAAAACUUAAAAUUGGUGGAAAUUAAAUAAGAGAAAACUUUAUUCUCCUUCUAUUUCAUUUUAUCACUCGUUUAAAGAAAAACAAUAGAUCAAUAAAGGAAGAGCAUUUUUUCACAGUGAAAUGGGGGGGAGUCAAUGCUACUAAAGAAACAAAAUAUCUUCUCCACCUGCUGAUCAAAUUCGGUGAAGUUAUAAACAGCAAGAACAACUGCUGAGCUUGCUAGACUUCCACAUGUUAAAUGGGGAAAUUUAAGACGGAACCAUGCACUGAGUGCUCCAGAAUAUGAGCCACCAAAAAUGAACCAGGGGUUUUCAAUUUUUGUUCUAUUAAGCUUGGCAUUUAAGGACUCCUGCAUGAAAUGACAGCAAUAAAUCAAACAAAAUUGACAGGAAACCGGCAAUCUAAUAAACUAUAAAUACCAUAUCUAGGAAUGGAUUAUUUAAAAGUUUGAGUCAUGUCAUAGACAAACCUGAAGUACAGUGAAAAAAAUCAAACAGAAGAGGGAAAUAUGAUUAAUUGAUAUCUAGAAAGCAUCCCAAAACUAUUAACAAAAUACUUGAUUGGUUUAACAGAUAUUACCUGAGAUAUAAUCAAAUAUGUUAGCAGGAAACUGUACAACUAGAAAUUGAGGCUUGAGUGCAGGAGUAAUGUACAUGCAACCACAACUCUGAUAUGACGGAGAAUGAGGCAAACCAAACUAGGGUAAACAGGGUAAAGAGACCGUAUACAUCUAUUAUUAGGAUUGGGAUUCUAUUUUGUUGAGAUGGCAUUCUAUUAGGGCAUUCUAUUAGAAUAUUUUUAGUUAGAAUCUUAGCACAUGGACCAUCACUCUAUCAUGUUAUUUAGCCUUUCACUAUUUUGGAUAUGCACAAUCUAGUCAAUAUUUCUUUUCUCAUAUGUCAUUCAAGGAGCUUCUUUUGACCUCAAACUCAGAAGAAUACAUACUCUCAUUUAGUUCUUUCAUUGGGAGUACCUCACUCCAUCUUGACCAUGGUUGGCAUACACGUCCAAGAAUACUAGCUCUCGAGCUAAUAGGUUUGAGGAAAUUGUUUAACAGUUGACUCGCUCCAAACUUAUUUCACUAACAAGACAGAGAAUGUGGUCAAUUGAAUAGUGGCUUUGAAGGGUGAUCUCCCAUUGUUUUGCAUGACUCUAGUCACAUUUUCACGAGAAGCAUUUUUUGAAGCUUGAUGCCUUUGAUUGAUGGUGACGAUCCUCAUGGUUGGAUCUUUAAAAAUCAUAGUUCUUUUAUUAUCAUGCAACUUGAGAAGAGAGAAUCACAAAAACCCCAUUGCCUAAAUGCAUUAUGGGGUUAAACACCUCCUUCUUGUUGAGUUUCUUUGCCAAAAAUCAAACAUGAGGCAUUAGCGCAACAACUUAGCACACUUAACUUAACCAUGUUGCACCUCACAUGGUUGAAUUAAGAUAAAUUGCAAGAUCUUCUUUGCCUUGCUCACCACCGCCCACCACAAGAAUGUUCACCCUCGUGACCCAUUGUGCCACUCCCGCACCAUCACCCAUACAACAAUUUUCUCCACUACUUUUGGCUCCUCUACCAAAUGCUUGAUUUAAGCAUCUCACCAAGGUUGAAAUUGCAGAUUGAAGUGAGAUUGGUCUUUGCUUCAAUUGUAAACAAAUAAGGUCACAAUUGCCAAGUGAGAUAUUAUUUUUGGUGGCCGAAGAAGUUGACAUGUUUCAAGGAGACUUGAGAGUGUGACCACAGACCUAGAAGGCAUUACAUCUCAAUUGUCAAUAGAAGCCCAAUCGACCCAAUCAAUCCUUAAUGCUUUGUCCACAAAACUUGCAUCAAAUAAAACGGGACAAAUUGCCCACCAUCCAAUAAUGAUUCUUGUUGAUAGUAGGAACCAUACUACCUUCAAGAUGGAACAACUGAUGCUUUGGGCCUCACUCACAACCCAACUUCAUUGAUACGUGCAAUGAUUAGGAAUGGGGUGCAAUUGACGUGUAAUCGAGUUUGUAAAACAAUACAAGGAUUGAUUCAAGGUCAACAAUUCAUUGUGGACCUCUACCUCUUGGAAAUGAGUGGCUUAGAUAUAGUACAAGGAGUCCAGUGGUUGAAACAACUUGGCCCUAUCUUCGUGGACUACCAAGCUCUCACCAUAAAAUUUGUUCAUGGGCAUCAUAUGUGGAAUUGAAGGGUUAUACCAGUUUUAGCCCAAAUCCACUCAGUUAUAACCAUAUAUGUAAGUAGUGUUAUCAAUAUCGGAUAAUGAAAAUUAUAAUAGGUUAUGGCGGAAGCAUCAAUACAAUAUAUACAUAUAGAUAAUUUAAAAAAAUAUAGAAAUGUAAUUGUAAUGCAAAAAUAAUGAAAGAGACAACCAUAAAUAAUAAUAAUAUUAUGUCUAGAAAUUCAAAUAUAAUCACAUCAAAUAAAAACACCACAAAUUUCAAGUUUAAAACAUAAAAUAAAUGUCUUAAAUUUUUAAUUAUCUGACUCUUCUUCAAUCCUAACAUAAUUAUCUUCAAUAUUAUCCAGUGGGUCAUUUCCCUCCUCCUCUUCCCUCUCAGAGAAACUCUUGUCAAAGUUAAGUAAUUUUUCGAACUUAAAACCAGAGCUAUCAUGACAACCCCAAUUUGAAUCUUCUCUUUGCCCCUCCUUGUAGGGGUUGAAGUUGUCCCUCGACCUUUCUUACAAGCAUGGGAAGAUCCAAUAACAAUACCACCACUUGAUGGUUGUUUUCUUUUAUUGGUUGCAUGUGUAAAUUAUUGGUUCUUCAACACCUAAAGCUUCAUAAAUAGUUAUCCAAUUCAGAGUGGGAUCAUCAUAACAAAAAAGCAACUCAUUCGCCCGCUCUUCAUUAUCCACUGGUCCCACUAACCACUCAUUAAUGUCAUUCAGUACAAUAAGGUUUAUUUCAUCCCUAAUAUUGUAUCUUUGAGCAAGUUGUUGGUUAUACUUUAUAUAAACCAAAUCAUGCAACAUUUUAUGGUCCAUCCUAUUCCUUUUGAGUGAAUCUGCAUUAUGAAUAAGUAAAAUAUAAAUUAAUUUCUUUCUAAAUUUUAUAAAAAAAGAUAACAAUGAAAUGAAUCAUGAACAAUAAUUAUUUCUUGCUCAAAUACAUUCCAAUUGUGCUCACAUCCCAAUAAACUACAUGUCAAACUUAAAAUCUUGAUUACUAGCUUUUGUAAGUUAGUAGCUACGUGUCUAUAAUUCCUCCACCAUUGAGCUAUAAAAGCAAAGAAAAUGAACAUUAUAUCUUAACGAAAUUUAGAAAGUGUUUAAGUGUCUUACCUGAGACUAUGUCUUUCUUGAUUCUUUGCAAAAUCAUCACCAAAGAGUAUACUUCCACUCUUAUAAAGAACUGAGUUAAAUUUUUUUGUUGCACAUCUUUACUUGACACCAACCUCUUAUACAAACACACAAUUCAUUUGUAGCUUCCAAAUCAUAUUCUUUUUCCAGACUGGAAUAACAAAACUUUGGGUUCAAAAAGUGACCAGUCGAAUGCAAUGGUCGAUGAAGUUGACAUGUCCAUCUAUUAUCAGUGAUUCUAAAUACAUCCUUGUAUUUACUUUCAUUAUUAUUGAAUGACUUCAUUAUUGUUUUUUUGGCUUUCUCCAUUGCUUCAUAUAUAUAACCCAUAUCUACUUUUCUUUCCAUCCACCAGACAAAAUACAUAAACAAGAGUCGCCAUGAAUUAGAGAGUAAAUAUUACAUCAUUCCAAAAUGAAAACCUAAGAACAAUUUUUGUAGCUUCCCUCUCCUUAGCUACCUUAGACAACUUGUUCUUGCUCCAUUCAUUUGAAAUGAACAUCUUUCUCAAAUUUCCAUUCUUUUGAUGCAACCUUUGUAAUGAUAAAUAAGAGGUACCAAACCUUGUAACUGUUGGCUUACCAAUUCCCUCUUAUUUGUAAAUUGUCUUAACAAACUAGAAUGACUAUAAAUAAAACCAAGAAGACUAACUCCUCUUUGAAUUGUUUUAUUUAUCAUAGAAAGCUUUCCAAUUUUUUCAAGCAUCAAAUCUAUACAAUGGGUAACAUAAAGAGUCCAACAAAGAUGAGGUAAUUUCUCUUCCAAUAAUUUACCAACUAACACAUAAUUGCUUCCAUUAUUUGUGAUAACUUGAGCCGCAUUUUCUUCUCCACAAGGAUAUCAAACAUCUCAAAUAGUUUCUCCCCUGUAUUUACAAAUUUAGAACAAUCAUUGGACUUGACAAACAUUUUUGUUGCAUAGGAGUUCACCAAAAAUUUAAUCAAACAUCGUUGCUUCCGAUCAGUCCAUGCAUUUGACAUGAUAGAACAAUCAUAUUUGCUUCAUUGCAAUAUAUAAUUUUUCAACAACUUUAGUGUAGUCAACUUCCUUGUUGAGAAGCGGAACUCUAAUUUCAUGAUAAGUAGGAGCUAUCAAAUUAGGUUCAUAAGCACCUAUAGCAUCCAUCAUAUCUCCAAAACUCUUCAAUCUUACAAGGUUGAAUGACAAGCUGCUUAGUACCAAAAUCGAGCAAUAUAUUGAUGAACUAAUGCCUUUAAAUUUUUGUCAGAAAAUUUCUUUGAUAUGUUAGGCAUAAAUCCACUUACUAAGAGUCACCUUGUGCAUCUUACAUACAAUGUUACUGAAAAUUUGUUAUGGCAGUGUCAUGGUGGAAACCGUUGGCGAAUUUGCAGCGUAUCGCCACAACAUGGCAGUGGUGAUCCGGGUUUCCCAAUGUGGCUUUAAAGGCAUCGACUCGUCAAUACAUUGCUCAAUUUUGGUAUCAAACAGACUUGUUAUUCAAUCUUAUAAGAUUGAAGAGUUUUCAUUAUAUGAUUGAUGUUAUAGGUGCUGAUGAACCUCAUUUGUCAGCUCGUACUUAACAUGAAAUUAAAGUUUCACUUUUCAACAAGUUGAUUACACUGAAAAGUUGUUGAAAAACAUGGUUGUUCUAUCAUGUCAGAUGCAUGGACUGAUAAAAAACAACGAUGUUUGAUUAACUUUUAGUGAGCUCCCCUAGGACAAUGUUGGUCAAGUCCAUUGAUGAUUCUAAAGUGAAAACAGGAGAAAAACUCUUUGAAAUGCUUGAUAGCCUUGUGGAGAAGAUUGAAAAAGAAAAUGUUGUUCAAGUUAUCACAGAUAAUAAAAACAAUGUGUUGGUUGGUAAAUUAUUGAAGAAAAAAGAUCUCAUAUCUAUUGGACUCCUUGUCCAUUGUAUAGAUUUGAUGCUUGAAGUCAAUUCAAAAAGCAGUUAGUCUUGUUGGCUUUAGUUGCUUGAGUUUGUUGAGAGACAAUUUACACGGGAAUUGGUAAGACACACGGUUAUAAGGUUUGCUACCUCUUAUUUAUCAUUACAAAGAUUGCAUCAAGAGAAAUUUGAAAAAUAUGUUCACUUCAAAUGAGUGGAACAAAAACCAGUUGUCUAAGAAAGCUAUGGGGAAGAAAGCUACACAAAUUGUUCUUAUGUCUUCAUUUUGGAAUCAUGUCGUAUUUACUCUCAAAGUCAUAGCUCCUCUUAUUCAUGUACUUCGUCUAGUGGAUGGAAGCUAUAUAUAUAAAGCAAUGGAGAAAAUCAAGGAAACAAUAACGAAGUCAUUCAUUAACAAUGAAAGUUUAAUAAAAUUAUGUAUUUACAAUAAUUGAUAAUAGAUGGACAUGCCAACAUCAUCGCCCCUUGCAUGCAACUUGUCACUUUUUGAACUCAAAGUUCUAUUAUUCCAACUCAAAAAUGGAAUAUGAUUUAGAAGUUACUGAAGCAUAUUAUUCCAUAAUUAAUGCAAAUUUCAUUUUCUAUUUAUUAGAACAUAUUUGAUAUCUUUUGGAGUUUUGAUUUGUAUAGCUUUAAUCACCUAUUUUUUAUUUCCUUAAUUAGGUUGUAAAUAGUCUAUAAAUUCAUAUUGUAAUCACAUAUGAAAAUACAUUCAAUCUUUUUCUUUCAACUUGGUAUAGAGUCAUGUAGAGCCUAUCCUAACAAGAGUUUGUUGAACUUAUCAGGUUACCCGAUAUUAGACCACUCAUAAAUAUAUAGUCUCACACACGAGUUGGCAGAUCUCGGUGUAACAACGACUAGAGAUAAGGACAUUUCAUAGUUAUAUAAGUAGGUGCAAACCUCAUUUUAUAAACCAGUUUAUAAGGUUAAGUUAGGCUUAAAUUUCACUUCCUAAUAUGUACUUGAAAGAAAAAUAUUUAAUGUAUUUGUGAAUGUAUUUUCAAAUGUGAUUACAAUAUGAAUUUAUAGACUAUGUACAACUUAAUUAAGGAAAGAAAUAAUAGGUAAUUAGUUAUAAAAAUAAAAACUCCAAAAAGAUACCAAAUAUAUCCUAAUAAAUAGAAGAUUGAAUCUGCAUUAAUUAUGGAAUAAUCUGCAACACUCUCCCUCCAGCUGGUGAAUGUAUAUCUAUCAUGACCAGCUUGCAAGUAAGAUCUUUGAAUUGUUUUGAGGGAAGUCCCUUAGUGAACAUAUCUGCCAAUUGGAGUCUUGAAGGGAUAUACUAGGUGGAUAUACUCCUUAAUGAAAUGUUGGCAUAUCUUUAUGUGCUUUGUUUGGUUAUGUUAAACUAGAUUGUAUGCAAUACUGAUGACAGACUUAUUAGAAGUUACAAAUGGAUUGUAUGCUUGCAUCAAGAGGUUGGGGCCAAGUAAAGAUGUGCAACAAAAAAAUUUAACUGAGUUGUCUCUUUAUAAGAGUGAAAGUGGACUCUUUGGUGAUGACUUUGCCAAAGAAUCAAGGAAGACCACAGUCUCAGGUGAGACACUUAAACGCUCUCUAAAUUGCGUUAAGAUAUAAAUUAAAUCAUGUAAUGAUUACAUUCUAAAUUACUUUCUUUGCUUUUAUAGCUCAAUUGUGGAAGAAUUAUCGGCAUGCAACUCCCAACUUACAAAAGAUAGCAAUCAAGAUUUUAAAUUUGACAUGUAGUUCAAUUCGGAUGUGAGCGUAGUUGGAGUGUAUUUGAGCAUGUAAUAAUCAUUUUUCAUGACAUGACGCAUUUCAUUAUUAUAUUUUUUGUAGAAUGUAGAAAUAAAUUAAUUCACAUUUUACUUAUUCAUAAUGCAAAUUCAUUCAAAAAUAAAGUAAUAGACUGGAGCACAAAAGGUUGCAUGAUUUGGUUUACAUAAAGUAUAACCAAUGCUCAAAGAUACAAUAUUAGGGAUGAAAUAAACCCUAUUGUACUCAAGGACAUUGAUGAGUGAAAUGAGUGGUUAGUGGAACAAAUAAAUGAUGAUAAUGAUAAUGAAGAGGGGGAAAUGAGUUGAUUUUUAUUAAUGAUAUCUCACUCUUAAUUGGGCAAUUAGUUUAUGAAACUUCAAGUGUUGGAGAACCAAUAAUUUACACAAGGAAACAAACAACUAGUAAAAGAAAACAACCAUCGUGGUGGUGGUAUUGUCAUUGGAUCUUCCCAUGCUUUUAAGAAAGGUCCAGUUGCAACUUCAUCCCCAACAAGGAGGGGCAAAUAGAAUAUUCAAAUUGGGGUUCAGAAUGAAUUGCAUGAUAGCUCUGAUUCUAAGUUUGAAAAAUUACUUAACUUUUACAAGAGUUUCUCUGAAGUGGAAGAGGAGGAGGGAUAUGCCACAUUGGAUAAUAUUGAAGACAAUUAUGUUGGGAUUGAAGAAGAGUUGGAUAAUUAGAAGCAUAAGACAUUUCUUGUAUGUUUGUUGUUAUUUUAAGUUUUGAAUUUGAAAUUUGUGGUGUUUUGAUUUGAUGAUAUUGUUAUUUUAAUUUCUAGACUUAAUAUUAUUAUUAGUUAUGUUUGUCUCUCAAUUUUUGUUCUUAGACGAUCUUAAACAAGACUUGUAAUUGCAUCCUCUAUUCCCAGGAGUUGUGUGCCAAAUGCCAAGAUACUCCUGACAUUGUCCACAAUUUCAACUCAAUGAUAGAUUUCUUAAUUUUCCAAAGCAAAAUUUGGAUUAGCCUCUAUUGUUUCGCAAUCUACUCUUGAAGGUAUUCCAUGAAUCCCAUAUUAUAGGGCAUGCUGGUUUCGCCAAAGCAUUGAAGCACCUGCCACAAAAUUUAACUGGCCUAACAUGGACCAAGAGGUGCGAAGUUUUGUACCACAAUGUCCAACUCGCUAGCAAACCAAGUACUCUCCACUAAAUCCUACUGGUUUACUUCAGCCACUUCCAAUUCCAAGCAACGUGUGGGGAGAUGUUUCUCUUGAUUUCAAAACUAGACUUCCUCCACCAUACAACUUCAUUAUUCUUGUCAUAGUGGACCAUUUCUCCAAAGCCAUUCAUUUAGGUGCCCUGCCUUAGGAUUUUACUAGUUACAAAGUGGUUGAGUUAUUUGUCUCCAUUGUUUACAAGCACCACAACUUCCCAAGAAGUGUUGUCUUCGACCAUGAUCCUAAAUUUAUUAGUCAUCUUUUGGUCUGACCUAGUCAAAUUAAGUGGCACCCUAUUGUGCAUGAGUUCUUCUUACCACUUGCAAAUUGAUGGAUAGAUAAGGGUUGUGAACCACAUUGUUGAUCAGUAUUUGCACGCUUUUGCUCACAUUAAGCCUUCUCUCUGAUUUUGCUACUUGUGUUGGGCAGAACUCCAUUAUAACACCUCGGUUCAUUCUUCCUUGGGCUUCUCUCCCAAUCAAAUUGUAUUUGGCAAACUACCUCCCUCUUUUCUCUCCUACACAGCAGGUGUCUCUUCAAUAGCUGCUUGUGGUUCUAAGUUACAAAGCCGUGAUGAGAUUUUUUUCUUUGCUACAUAGAAAUUUACUUAAGGCACAAAAGUCCAUGAAAUCUGCAGCAAAUAAGCAUCAUAUUGAUCUUAGUUUUGUGGUUGACUUGUGGGUUUAUGUGGAGCUUCAGCCAUAAGCUUUCUAAGCACUUUUAUGAUCCUUAUAGAGUGCUUGGCAUCUAGGCCUUGUGGCUUACUGCUUAGACCUGCCACCUUCAUCUAAGAUACACAAUUUUUCACUGCUGCCCCUGAAGGCACAUGCAGCAGGUCCACCUCCUACUCACAUUGAUCAGAUUCCAUGUUUCUUUGUUGACAACAAUCCUGCGGUGUCUCCUUUGGCAAUAUUGGUUCUUCAAGACUACUUUUGCACAUGGCUCUCCUAUCAAAUUCGCCUUGUCCAAUGGCGCCUUAUCCCCUGACGAUGCCAUGUGGAAGACUUGGGAUGACCUACUAGUUGCUUACAAUCUUGAGGACAAGGUUGUUGUGGAUGGGGUGGGGGAGAUAAUGUGACAGAGAACGAGGCAGCCGAAACUAGUAGGUCCAAGAGGAUUAGUGAACAGAAUAAAGGCGCUGUAUGCAUCUAUUAUAAGGAGAUUCUGUUUUGCUGAGAUGGCAUUCUAUUAGGUAUUAUGUUUGAAUAUUUUCUAUUAGAACGUCUAAGCACAUAGACGAUCAUUCUAUCGUGCUAUUUAGCCUUAUACCCUUCACUAUUUUGGAUAUGCAGAAUCUGGUCAAUAUUUCCUUUCUCAUAUCUUAUUCUAGGAGGCACCUCUAACCUCAAAUUCAGAGGAAUACAUACUCUUUCAAACUCCACGUACAAUCAUAACAUAUUUCAAGCCCAGGUAAAGUACAAAAUCAAUUAUUUCUUCUUUAAAACAUUAGGAAUAUCCAAGAUUUAUCUUUCUUAUACUUCAUUCAAUGCAAUUUAACUUAUUUUAAAUAGAUGAAAGUUAGGUAAACUGUGUAACAGAAAACAUCAUUCGAGAAUCAACUCAAUCCCACUGAACGUUGCCUUAAUCUGUAUCCAAAUGUCAAUCACAACCACACUAAUCAUUUCUGAUGAACGUUUACAGUUUUUUAAAAUUUGUCAAUCACAACCACACAAAUGGCUUGCAUUAUUCAUGCUCUUUUAGUCAUCUAAAAAACUUCAAACAAAAAACAAUCCACUAUUUUUUUAACCCAAUUUCUUAGGCCAACUUUUUUACUAGCGUCAUUUCUACCAAAUUGUUAUCAUCUACAACAGAAAAACACUGUAGCUUACCUGAUAAUACUGGCGAAAAGCGGCCAAAUCAGAGAGUGCCUGCUUGGAUGAAAGAUAUUUCAAAUUUUCUGUCUCCAAAGAAUUAAACGGAGAGCUCUUUCCAUAGUAGCGAUGUUCCAGAGAAACCAAAGCUGCUCCAAACUUCUUUGCCAGUACCUAAGGACGAAAAAUAACAAGGAAAUAUGUUUAUAAUAUUACGUUUUCUUCAAAAAGACCCACAUAAUUAUUUGUUGGAGCAAAAAGAAAAUUCACUCUUGUUGGGGAGUGGAUCCUAACUUCCUCAUAGACGAUAAAUACACGGGCCAACCCAAUAUUUGUUAGUACAGAUGAGUACCCUUUUCCAACAAAAAUAUAUUUUCUCUCACUCUGCCUUAUUACAAGACUCAAUUACCUAAUUUAUCAAAAUUAAGGAAAACGCGGAAAGAUAUGUUUUUAGAUCUCGCAUUUCAAAUCCUCCUUUCUUUUGAUUUAUUAUUUAAGUCUUUUUUUCUCUGUUGAUAGAUAUCAACAAAGAAAAAUGUGGAAAACAAUAUAAAGAUUCUUUACAAUAACACUAGAAACAAAUGGAAAAGGGAUGUAGCGCAGCUUGGUAGCGCGUUUGUUUUGGGUACAAAAUGUCACGGGUUCAAAUCCUGUCAUCCCUAUCCCUAACUAUUACUUAUCAUAUGAUAUUCCGUAUUCUAUGAGAUGAGCAAUAAACCGGGACCCCCUUCCCUUUGAAGACGAAUUCAAAUUGAACAUACAUACUGAAUAUAUAUAUAUAUAUAUAUAUAUGACUAAAUUAAUUUGGUAUCAGAUAAAAGAAUUAAUAGAAACAAACGACUCUUAGUUCAGUUCGGCAGAACGUGGUCUCAAACCCGAUGUCGUAGGUUCAAAUCCUACAGAGCGUGAUUCUAGUCNNNNNNNNNNNNNNNNNNNNNNNNNNNNNNNNNNNNNNNNNNNNNNNNNNNNNNNNNNNNNNNNNNNNNNNNNNNNNNNNNNNNNNNNNNNNNNNNNNNNGUUCGCUUAGAUAAUUACACUAGAAAUAAUUGAAACAUUACAAAAGAAAGUAUGAAUUUUAUCCUUGUACGAUUAGGAUUAAAACUAAAUAAAUAGGAAAUCCACAAAAAAAGAGACAUUAAUGAAUCAAAGAUCCAACUGAUCACCUCGUCGGUAUUGUAAAUAUGCAGUUACAAAUAAUCCAGCCAAAGUAAUAGGAAUUAAUCCUAAAACGAUUCCAAAUAGAAAGACUUCAAUCAUUUUUAUUUGUUCGGAAAGUAAAAGAAAGGUAAUAUCUAUCCUUAAAUAUUAAUCUGUAUUGCUCAUGAAUCUCAACGACCGAGAAUUGGAAAUUUACAUAGUAAGGAAUGAUAGAAUGUCUUAUACCAAAAUGGACUCUUCCUCUUCUCUCAAAAUUACAAAUCAAAUAAGUUGUAUUUUACUAAGACCAAUAAAUAGAGACGAGGUUAUAAUUAAAACCGCUAGUAAAAAACCGAAAUAACUAGUGAUAG